AAAGUAUAAUUUUUUAUUCACCAUAUUAACAACUGCUAAUUGAACACAUGACUUUUUUAACAUAUGUCCACUUCCAUCUCAAUACAGAUUAUACAAGCCCUUUGGUAGUGCAACAACUCUUAUGUGUACAGACUACAGACAAGCAUAUUUUGGAUAGGAAACAAACUCUUUUGCCAUAGGCACCUAUUUAAAAAGUUUACUGUUAGAUACAUUCACAAGGUUCAUCAUGCACCAUUCCAUAUAAAAAAGGAACACAAUAACAUGGAAAGAAAUGGUGCAAAUAAAUGAUAAUUCCUGUGACACCUCUACGCUCGUCUCCAAUAGCAGAAUGCCUGUAAGCAAGCUUCCUUUUUGUUGCCAUGAUCAUAGGGUGAACUGAAAUAGCCAACCUCAAAUCAUACAAGGUCAAGUAUCUCCAAUCAUCAUAUUCACUCAAAAGCAUUGAGAUUGGGUUUCAUCAUAGUUCCAUAUACAAAAAACAGAGACUCUGCCCAAAUGAGCAGUUGAAUGACUCAUGAAGAAUAGUGACAGAAACAAUAUAUAGUAACUACACAAACAAAGUAGAAUGAAUUAUGUAAGUACAGUCUAUUGGAAGAUUUCAUCUAUGGGGCAAAUCAUAGUAGCUUGCAAAGGGAUAAAUGCAUUGCCACACAUCUUAUCUAGAGAAGAGAAACACAAAGCAAGGAUCAAGCAUAGCUAGCAUUGGAUCAGCACCACAUGUGCCCACUGCCUCUGGUGCUUCUGUACAUAAGAAUGAGCAUUCAGUAAGAGUGCCUAAAAACGUCUCAGUACAAAACAAUGUGGUGGAAGGAUGAGAAAUAACAACAAUAGCAACUUUACUAAUACAAAGUUCCUAGAUUAAUAUAACAUUAAAAUUGCAAAGAAUAGCUCUGUAGAAAGAUGGAAGUUGUACCUCGAAGCAGCCCCUCUAGCCACAUCAUGAACUUCAGGCUUCUCAAUUGUCUUAUUUUGAAAACUCCAAAAAUGCAGGAACAAUUGAGCAUGAGUAUAGAUUAUAGAUGUGACACAUCCUGACACCUUCAACAUGAAUGUCCUAUAGUUAAAAUUAUGUGGCUGCAAUAUAGCUGCAAGCACAAUCAGAUCAGGAGCCUGUUUUAAAAUUAUGUAACUCAAUAGCUAGAGAACUAUCAGUAGAUAAACAAGGGCACAUUAACAUCAUAUAUAUUGCACUCCUAUCAAGUUUAGCGAUCAUUAUAGCUAAUUUAAUUACAGUAGAUAAACAAGAGAAGUGACCUAUAAAUUCCAACACUUGUUGCAUAGAGCUAUCUUAUGUGGAGCAACUUCAUAGAGCAAGUGCAUUCUGGAUAUCAGUCCCAAAUCAGCCUUUUUUUACUUCAGCUCUACGAUAACUACUUCAUAUAGCAAGUUCAGGGAUUGGAGAAUAAACUCACAUAUGCCAAUAAUUAAGAAAUGACGCGGGUUUAGAAUGAGGCCAAAUCCAGUGUAACAAAUCUGCUUACCAAAACCCACCAACAUUUUAUUGGCCUAGUCAGGUAGCCUACUUUGCAUGUCCUUGCCAUUAUCAUGCACUUUACCCUUUUAAUUCCACAAAGUAGCAUUGCAAGGGCUGUCCUUAAUUAUACUCCAGUUAGCAGCAGCACUCAUGAAGUCAUGAUUAGUGCCGUGCUAAGCCAAGCUGACACCAAAAAAAGUAGAGUAUAAAAAUUUAUUUCAUGUUAUAUCUAACUAUUACUAAUUUUGUGUCAAAACUCAUAAAUAUUAAUCUUUUUUCCUAUAUAAAUUUCUUCAAACUUAAAAACAAACUCAAACUUAGGACAACUGACAUAGGGAGUAGCAGGACGAUGACAUAUUUAGGCAAUUUGGAUUCACACGUUAUUAACUAAAUAAAAAAUAGGAAUAAGACAUCCUUUAAGUUUUGUGCAGAACACGGAAAGUGUGUUUCAUGCUUCAGCAUAAAUAAAAACUCCAGAAUCCAAAUUUAGUACUUUUACCAAAGGCCGGAUGGGGAGGCAGAGAGUUGUCGAGAUGAUCCAUAGACGACUCCACCCCAAAUAAAAGAAAAUUAGGUCUCAGAAUACAGAAGUUAGGUCCCAGCUAACGCAGAGGAGGUUACCACUAUAGGCAUGUUCUGCUGGAUCUUAUGGAUUUGUGUGCAGAGCAGUUAGGUCUGCUUUUAUCCAGUGAGCCGCGAUUUGGGGAAGAUGCAACAUGUUGAAGCCGCUAGUGCCAGCAUGCUCGCCUUGGAGGGUGGACGACGGAAAGGCAGAUAUGUGCCGGAUCUUCCACCUCUUCGUCAGUUCGUCCACCAUGACCGGAUUUGCUCGAUGUCAGAUCUCGCACGCCGCCGGAUCCCGCACGGCUCGACAUACUCCCUCGCACUUAGAGCAUCCCCAACCGUUUUGCAAAUAAGCUUUGCAUUCAUGUAUUUGCAAAAAAAUCUUAAAAACACUUAUGUAACGGUUUGGAAUUUAGACUUUGCAAUUUUGUUAACUUGGCAAAAAGAGAGGAAGGAUUGGCAUAUAUGUCAAACCUGUUCACACUUGGCAUUGGGAAAUUGGCGCGAAGUGAUUAAUGCCAAACCAUUGGAGAUUGCCUCUUUUCACCUUUGCCAUAUUUUUUUGAGACUUGGCAAACUCCCUCAUUUGCCAAACCAAUUAUGCAAAACGGUUGGGGAUGCUCUUAGAAGGCCACACGUCUCCCUUUUGUGAAAAACUGUAAAGGAUUUCUUCUCGAAACAACAACAUGUUUUUUGAAAUUUCCACCUUGGGUUUAACUGGAAAACAUCUGAACGUCUUUACUAUUUUCGAUAGAGGAGUUGGACCGCGGGUUGAUUCUAAAAGUGCUGAGAGUGUUUUUACAAAAAGUGUCAGAACCACGCGUCAGUGCCUGGAGAAGCCACCGAUGCUUCAAUUUAUGUGGUGCGAGCAAAAGGGAGUGGUCUUUAAUCAACCCCGAUUAGGGCAUCCUUCGGAUUGGUAGCCAAUGUACCAUAGAACCCCUCUUAUUUAUCUCUCAUCCACAACUUGAACAACAAAACAAUAAAAUUCAUAAUAUUAAAUAUAUCAUUUCUUUAGUUAAUAAGCCAAAAUUGGCAUAUAUAUAUAUAUAUAUAUAUAUAUAUAUAUAUAUAUAACUUGAUAUGAAUGUCAUAUGACUCAUUGUAUAUAUUUAUUUUACGAGACAAAGCCUAGGUACUCUAUGAUAUAUAUGUUUGCAAUCAAUAUAUAUGCAUUAUAUAUAUAGACACGUCUUUUGUAUAUGCCUGUAAAUUACGAGACAAUCUUUUAAGCCUAGUUACUCUACGAUUGGAUAAUAUUUAUAUAGUUUUUUAUAUAGCUUUUAUAUAUAUAGACAAUGGCCGAUCCGAGGGAUCAACAAAUUGAUGAUGAGGCCAUCAUGAUGAAUCUCAUCGCCGGUGGUGACGAACAAAUCAAGGAUGAUGAUGAACGGAGUCAGUACUUGUGGGUAGAUUACGAGGAGAUCAUGCAGGGAUCCUCCCUACCGCCUAAUGAGCAACAAAUUGUCGAGCAAGCCAAUACUGGCGAGAUAUAUUAGUUAUACAUGUUUAUUAGGGAUUAGGGUUAGGGUUUAGGGUUUAGACUUUAGGGUAUAUUGCAUCUUGUAUUAAUUUCAUCUUUGUGUAUUUACUAGCAAAUAUGCCCGUGCGUUGCAACGGGAGAAAAAAAUAUCAAAUUUUAAUAAAAAAUAUAGACAUAAAUGUUGCGUACAUAUUUACCAUUUACUCUUUCUAUCAAACUUUAAAAUUAUAAUAUUUUAUGACGACCAUGGCAUAUAUAAUAUAAGUUCGUAUUGACAAUAAUAUUACACUAUCUUAUUCAUGACCGUGCACUUUUACAGUGAGUUGAUAACCAUGGUCAAGAGUGACCGUUUGCUGAACCGCUUUUGCCGCUCGUGUCCAAACCUAAAAUGUCAACUAUCUUGGAAUAUCUUGGAAUGAAAGGAGUAGUUAUUUUGAUUGGAUUUACUUGAACUAAUCUUAAUCUUUUAAAUUGUCUUUUCUGUCAACUUCUGUUUAAAUGCUGGAUUGAAUAGCUAACUUGUAAAUUUUCCGGUGCUCAUUCUGGUUUGCUUUUUUUUUUUGAAAGAUCAGUUUGUUCUUCAGAAUGGUAUAUUUGGUACUGGGCACCAUUCUGGAUUUUAUUACUCUGUCGAAUACUUUUGAUCGUAAACUUUUCUAAUACAAGAAAUUAGACUGUCAUUGAAUAUUUAUAUAAGAAAAUAGAAGAGGUAGGUUUGGGCCAGCCUAUAGGAACGUUAGAAGCUAUUUUGGGCCAUUCUAACAGUAAGCUUUUACCCUAGUGGACGUAAGAAAGUAAAUUGGAUUUAACUCUGGCCAUACGUCCACAAACUUGCCGCAUACACCGCCGUCUCCUACCUCCUCUCCUACCCAACCAGUAAACUACCAUGAAAGCUCUAGGAGAGGCAAGAGAAGAACCAACACUUCUUUUUGGGUUAUCUGCGUCAUCUCUGCCCCGCUGCUCUCCACGUUGACCUCUGCUCGCAGUUGCAGCUUCGCGCCGCCUCCCUGCCAGCCUUUGCUUGCAGCCUCGCGCGGCAUCCAACGCUCCCCACGCUGGCCUUCGCUUGCGUCGCGUGUACCGUUCCCGGGGAAGCGAUGGCGCAGGCGCCCUGGCCAAUUAGUGCUGAGGCAGCGACACCGGCGAACCUGGCUGGUGGCUCGGAAGCGAGGGCGUGGGCGCCCCUGGCGGCCUGGAGGCGCGACCUGCGCAAUUCUCUCUAUGAUUUUAUCGAUUCGAUUCUUCUCUAUUUUUCUCUUCCAUCGAUUUGUAUACGGAUGUAGAAGGGAUUGAUUUUUGGCGCUUGUUGUGGUGGUCGUCAGACCGGUGUUGAUUUUGUGCUCGACAUCUUAUCUAUAUAUGACUAUUGUCCUUUAUUUGGUAUGAAUUUUCAUCGAUUUGGUAUGCGACUCUGUUUUGGAAUUUGGAUUUGGUUUGGUUCGUUGUUGAGUACUGGCGCUUCUCGGAAACAGGCUGGCAAUAGAUACAGACUGAAAUUUUCAUGGCUGGGACACGGACAUAUACAGAUUGAAAUUUUCAUAGCUGGCGGACAGAUUUUGGGCUUUCACGAUUAUAUAUUAGAGAAGAUAGAUUGUAAGGAGGCGGAGGAUGAGCGGGCAGGCGGAGCGGCUUUUGUUGUUUCCACUCCACACGGAAGUACGGAACCGAGGCGGACUUAUUUAUCUCUCAUCCACAACUUUGAACAACAAAACAAUAAAAUUAAUAAUAUUAAAUAUAUCAUUUCUUUAGUUAAUAAACCAAAAUUGGCAUAUAUAUAUAUAUAUAACUUGAUAUGAAUGUCAUAUGACUCAUUGUAUAUAUUUAUUUUACGAGACAAAGCCUAGGUACUCUAUGAUAUAUAUGUUUGCAAUCAAUAUAUAUAUGCAUUAUAUAUAUAGACACGUCUUUUGUAUAUGCCUGUAAAUUACGAGACAAUCUUUUAAGCCUAGUUACUCUACGAUUGGAUAAUAUUUAUAUAGUUUUUUAUAUAGCUUUUAUAUAUAUAGACAAUGGCCGAUCCGAGGGAUCAACAAAUCGAUGAUGAGGCCAUCAUGAUGAAUCUCAUCGCCGGUGGUGACGAACAAAUCAAGGAUGAUGAUGAUCGGAGUCAGUACUUGCGGGUAGAUUACGAGGAGAUCAUGCAGGGAUCCUCCCUACCGCCUAAUGAGCAACAAAUUGUCGAGCAAGCCAAUACUGGCGAGAUAUAUUAGUUAUACAUGUUUAUUAGUGAUUAGGGUUAGGGUUUAGGGUUUAGACUUUAGGGUAUAUUGCAUCUUGUAUUAAUUUCAUCUUUGUGUAUUUAUAUAUGUAGCCCUCUGGAUCGACAUCUACAACUGGGAAGAGCAGACCGGUUCGAGGGCCAUGGAGGCCGUUGGAGGGCCGUCUCGUAUUCUCCGAAUUCCACGAGGCUACAGGCCAACCACUAGGACCGCAUGCAAAGACAUAUGUCGGUUAUUGUGGUUACCUGGUGAGGGAUAGGAUACCGAUCAGUGCUCGAGAAUGGAAGAAGCCAAGUGCUCCUCAUAUCAGUUUUGUCUUCGAUCGUGAUAAAGCCGACAUGUGGACUAACAUCAGACACCAUUUCACGUUCGACACGAACGAUGACGAGCUGAAGGAGAGAAUCUGAGAGUGGACAAUGAAGAAGAUGGCAACACUUUUUUAGGCUUGGAAGAAGAACUUGUACACCAAGUUUGUGAAGAAAAAUGAGACGCCAAAUUUCAGCACCAAGGCGUAUGUCAAGCUAAGGCCCUUUUGGGAUGAAUUCGUGCAGUACAAAACGUCAGAAGAGAGCGAAGCUAUUAUCAGAACGAACAAAGAGAAUGCUGCAAAAAAGAAAUACCACCAUCAUCUGGGAUCAGGUGGCUAUAUGAGUGCCAUUCCAAAGUGGGAGAGAAUGGAACGGGAGAUGAUGGCCAGGGGGGUAGUACCUCAGACAAUACAGAAGAAUUGGGCUGAACGCUGGAAGAAAUGGUUAUACGGUCAUGGGGGAACCGUAGAUCCCAUAACUGGGCUGCUAGAUUGGGGCCUAGAAAUCUCAAGAGCAGCAGAGAGGCUAUUUCAUGCACGAGCAGAGGUUGCAUCUGGUCUACUCAAGCCCAAUAGAGAGAAGGAUGAACUCACGUAUGCCCUUGAACAUCCAGAACACGGCGGGCGUACGAGAGGGUAUAGGGCAGUUUCAUGGUACCAUUCCUUCCCAGCUAAUCGAGGAACUUAUAGAAGCCACCAGAGAAAGAAGGAGGAGGAGGCAGAGCGGAUUCGCAAGUUGGAGGAGUUUGUGCAUAGCUCGCAAGAGCGUGAAAGAAGUCGAGAAGAAUGGAUGUAGGAGGAGAUCAAGAGGCAAGUGCAAGCAGCAAUUAGUUCUAUGACGAGAGGCGGGCUACAUCAUCAUAGCCGGCAGACAUCAACAUUAGCCCCCAGGUCAGUUGAGGAGCAGUCGCCUCCACUGAAGUACCAACCACCCAAGCUGACGCGAAGCUACGGUUCCCCGUGGAUGACCUCACAGAACUUGUUAAUUCAUGUGAGCUGCACAUUCUAGAAGGAAUCGGGACGAAGAAGGUGGCGAUCGGUGUUGUAAAUGCUAUUGACCUGAUGAGAACACCAAGAAUCCAUGGUCAACCGGUACCAGAAGGAUAUGCUCGUGUCUUGUUGCAUAGGGUGGAGAGAGGUUGUGCCAGCGUGCCUCUCGACAUUGAAGGGGGAGAUGGGGAGAAGACUCUAGGUGAGGCAGAGAAGACAUUUGUUGGCAUAAGCGCUUUAUCAUCAUUCCUAGAGUCUCACUGCCGCCACCUCGUCUUACUGAUGAUCAAGAUCCUCAGCGUAGGUGCGUGGAUUCAAAAACAAUAUAUUCGCUAACAUCCUAUAUAUAUGUAUAUAUUGAAUUCUACAACAUAUAGCUUAUAAUUACUCACAACACUCGUGUUUUCUUAGCAGGGACUUCAGUCCAAGUAUUCAUUCCCCAGCGCAUCAUAGUGUUGUGGGCGGCGAAGAUGCUUUGGAGGACGCAACUGCAACCCCAUAUCCUCCACGACGGUCUCCAACACCACCGCAGGCCGCACCGUCCCCACCACCGCCACCGCCUCAAGCUAGUAAGAAGAGGUCCGCCCUAGCACCAAAGGCUUCGGUCCCACAUCCUACAAAGAAGCAAGCUCAGGCUCCCUCUGGUAAAAAAAUGGCCAGUGAAAAGUUGUCUUAUGAGAAGAGUGAUGAGGAGCUAAUUGCAUCAACUGCUUCAGAUGUGAAAGCACACUUUGAAAAAACUAAAAAGGAAAUUGAAGCAAAGCGGAGGAAAGGGUGUUCCAAGGAGAGCUGAGGAAGAGGGUGGAAGAGCACAACCGAAAAAUGCGUGAAGCUCGAAAGCCUCUACCAAAGUCAGACUAUGAACGCCAACUACUAAAAGCUGUAAAAGCUCAACCCGCCAAGAAGAAAGCAGGAAAGGGUGUUCCAUGUUGGGUAUUCUUAACGUCAUUACCAAAAGUAGACUUAGCUUUCUAAUUCUGAUAACGACGCCAAAAAUGUCAAACCUAUCCCUCAUGCCACUUAAGCCAAGUUGUCAUCCCCAGCAUGACAUGAGAGACGCGGUAUUGAAAUAUGCAAUUGCUCUUCUAAAUAAAUAAUAAAUGGGAUCUGCAAGCGCACACGAUGUAACAUUUUAACCGGGAAGUAUUCCAGGUAUCGUUAUUUAUAUUUUUACCACUGGGAAGGGAUUGCUAAACAUCAAUGUUGAUUAUAGAAUGGAAUAUAGAAUUGAGUAUCUAUCAUUGCAUGUAUAAUUGAGAGCAUUUAUCUAUCUCUUUCAUACAGGGAUAAGUGUCACAUAAAAGAUAGAUAAAGUAUGAAUGGUGACAAAGAUAAUUAAUCUGAUCAGCAUAACUUAGCCACAUAUAAAUAUGAUAAGCACCUCAAUAGAUAUUCUAACAAGUCAUUAGCAUGGGAUUAGGAUGAACUACAAGAAUAUUUCCUAAGUUAUUCUUAACUACAAAGUCUAGUAUAUCAUAGUUAGUGCAAUUAUACUUGGCAAUCAUUGCGAGAAAGGACUACGCCCAUGCAUAGUGAUAUUAUCAAGGAAUAUGAGAAACAUAGCAAUCACUCCCCUGUAAUAAUGUUGCUCUGCCAGCCCUAUACACGAGAGGGGGACUAUAUAAGAAUCAAUGGAGCUGUCACUACCACGAACUACCCCGCGAUCUGGCAUAUAGGGUACAAUUGCAGAUAAAUACGGUAUAGGCACCACGCCUACACAAUACUUAUCAUUUACCCACUGUACACAUGGAUAAACGCUAUACGAUCCUAAACAUGUAUAUAAUUCCAAUCUAACUAAGCCAAGCAUAUAACUAUGAUAAACUAAGAACAAUAUAAUUGCGAAUAUAAACAAGUAGAGCAAAGUCAUAAUCAAUAUAUUGAAGUAGAACAAAGUCAUAUUCAUAAUAUUGAAGAACAAAGAUGAACAAUUGAAGAAUAGUAGAGGAAUUACCAAGAAUCCUCUUGACAGAUCCGGAAACCAAUCGAAGAUUGACUCCUUCUAGUUCUAAUCCUAUGUAGCUAUGCUAAACUAGAGAUCUAAUUGAUGUGGUGCCUCUAAGGCUUGAUCAGAGGCUUCUUCUCCCAAGAUGAAUAAUGAAUUAGGGGUCUGAGCUCUCUUCCUCCAGGGGCCAGGGGGUCUGCUUAUAUAAUCCUUCCAAGUAAAUAUGGGCCGUCGGAUCAAACCCACAUUAAUCGCACAGUUUUCCUUGAUCCUUUAGGUCGGUGGAGCAUGAUCCGCGAAGUCGAAGCUGAUUGGCCCCAAGGCCAGGGCGGGCGCCCAAGGGGGAAGGGUGGGCGCCCUGUCCCCGUGCCCGUCCGGUCUCCCGUUCGUUCCCGUGGCUUCUGGACUCUUCUAGAUGUAGGAUAAUUGCGCAGCACGUUAAUAUCUCUAUGUAAACCCGACGUGUGGGCCUUUCUUCCAUAAUUCCUGAUAACCCCCUGCAGAAAUAGACAAACACCAAAACUCGUGGAAUUCUGUCAGAUAAACCCUAAGUCUGGAUGUUGAUUGCAUUUGGAUCCUUUUCUUUGUUUAUUUGAUGAUUAUAUUUGAUAUUUAAAGACCGUCAACAACUCCCCCAAGCUUACCUCUUGCUCGUCCCUGAGCAAGGAUAAUCUCAGUAAUGGAUUAGAAGUUGCUGAAAUGCCUUUAAAAGUUUGAUAAUACACAUGCUUUCAAAUAAGGUCUUAUCUCUGAGUUAGAGUAAACUGUCAAGACUUAAAACUUACUCAUUUUACCUUUCACCAUGGGACUUGUAACCGUCACUUCUGUCUUGAGCAGUUAAAAGAUAGAACGGUCUAGUCAAGCGCCAUGUCUCUUAUUCUUGAUCAGCUAUAGCUCUGGAGUUUUUGCAGAUUUUCAAAUAAAACUCAGAGAUUCCUUGUAUGACUCUCUCAGAUCUCUCUUUUGUGGUAUUUCUGGAUCCUUACCAAGGCAGUGAUGGUAUAUGCCUUCUCUCAAGGUAUAUAGUAUUUGUAGUAUAAGGCAUAGUGACAUUGCCUUCUCUCUCACCCUGCUCUAAUAAGGCUUUAAUAUCUGGCGCUCAUAGGUGGGAGAUAAAGUAUACAUACUUACAAGACAUUUAUUGCAUAGUCAAACCAUGGAUCUAGAGAAACAAGUCAAUAAGUCAAAUCAAGAUGUGCAUGUGUGGCGAAUGAAUGGUGUAUGGUGAUGAUGGUGAUAGUCUAAUUCUACUUUUGCUCUUUUGAGGGGAUAAAUACCUUCCUUGCUCUUUGAAACUUUUUGAGGAGAAUGAGAUGCUCUUCUUUUUCUUUCCUCUCAGGUGGGUAUCUUGUACCCCUAAUUCUACUGUCGGACACUUAUCCAUUUUUACCUCUCGUCUCACUUUUUCUUUUCUUUCGAGGUUCCGGGCACUUGCCCCUUUUUAUUUCCUCGUAUAUUUUUCUUCUUUCUCUUUUUUUAGAGCACUCAUCUCCUGAAAUAAUAAUAUAGCAAGUGGUAGUAACCAAGAUAACUUGAGCAUUUAUUUCACAGGGGAAAAACAGAAAUGUUUUUGGCUAUUCUCUCCCGGAUUAGGAGUAGAAUAUUUUUUGGGUAGUUCUGGAGAUGGAAAUGAGUGGAUAUAUGUGGAUGCGUACUUCCAGAGUAGAAGCAGCAUGUGUGAGUGAACGUGCAAGUGAAUCUUGGUUUUAACCACAUGACAAGCUCCUAAGGGUCUACACAGCUUGACCACACCCAAUGCUCAUAAGCAGUAAAAAGUAAAUGUGUGGCUCAAAGUCUAGCAAGCAUGUAUAUAUGGCUGUGGAAGGAAUUUAAACUCUCAUCAUACAGAAACUCAUCAUGUGAUAUUUUAAAGAGUUUCAAAGAUAAAAUUCUCCAGAAUUCUAGCAUCUCUAGGAACAGAUAAAUAGCAGCUCAACCUUCCCAUAUCAUAUCCGUUAACAACUUAAACUUCAGAUCAAGUUUUCUUCCCACAAGUUCAGAUUUAGAGCAAGCUUUAAAUUAUAACAGUUAUGUCUAAACUAGAGAGAACUUCAAAUUUGAAAAUUAGGCAGAGCAACUAUUCAUCAUAUCCAUGCUAGAGUUUUAUUAAGAUUCAAUUUAGCAUAGCCACUUUAUUUAUUUAUUAAGCACACCAAGCAAAAGACACAUAUAUAUAUAUAUAAGCACAAAAUUUUUAUUUGGUUUUUCAUGGUUAUGUAUAUUUAUAUUUUAAUAUAGUAUAAGUAUAAAUAUAGAUAGAAAUACUUAGCGGGAUAAAUGGGGGUGUCCUCCCCCAAGGUGAAUUUUGACGUAAUUUCUUCUGAUGUAGCUAGCAGGUGGCAGAGGUGUAUUUGAAUGUCGCAGCACCCUCACAGCGAUUAGAAUGUCCUCCGUCUGCUAGUCUUCUUGAUUCUUAAAUUCUGUGGAGCUCAAAUAGAUAACAAAACUUUGUGGAACUGAUUAAGUUAGCAUAAAUAUCUAGCCUUUAUCAUGUUGAGCCUCCUCAAUAAGUGUUACUCUCUAUUUUUAUAUUUUCAUUUUUUUAGAGCAGAAAAAAAUAUUUAUUUUAUUUUUAUGCCACCACAGUGAAUGUACUUAUGGGGUUUAUGCCACUCAUAUACUCACAUGGGGCUUACUAUUUUUAAAAUUUUUAUUUUCUUUUUAGGAUAGUAUGAAUAUGAUUAACUAAGCAAACUAUUUGAAAUAAUUGAAAGGAAAAGAUAACUUCCAAGUUUACCUCUUGGCAAGGCGUUCAAUGUUUUUAAGUCCUCCGAACGGGACUUUCUGUUUUCUCACUUGUCCUAGGAUUCGUUGGAUGGCGUAGUCGGUAGUUCCGGCGGCGCCUCCUCUUCGUGUAUACUUAUCUUUGUUGACGGUCCUUAAGUAUCAAAUUUAACUAUCAAAUAAACAAAGAAAAUGAUCCAAAUAAAAUCAACAUCUAGACUUAGGGUUUUAUCUUACAGAAUUCCACGAGUUUUGGUGUUUGUCUAUUUCUGCAGGGGGUUAUCAGGAAAUAUGGAAGAAAGGCCCACACGUCGGGAUUACAUAGAGAUAUUAACGUGCCGCGCAAUUAUCUUACAUCUAGAAGAGACUCCAGAAGCCACGGGAAGAAAGCGGAGGCCGAACAGGGCCAGAGGCAGGGCACCCGCCCUUUUUCCCUAGGCGCCCGCCCUCUGUUGGAGUCCAAUAGGACUCUGUUUCAUGGGAGAUCUCUACCGACCUAAAGGAUCAAGGAUAACCGUUCAAUCUAUGUCGGUUUGAUCCAAUGGCCCAUAUUCACUUGAAGGGACUAUAAAACCAGACCCCCUGGCCCCUGGAGGAGGGAGCCUCUCAACCCUAAUUCAUUAGUCUUCAAGGGAGAAGAAGCCUCUGAUCAAGAUUAGAGCCACCACAUCAAUUAGACAUCUAGAUUAGCAUAGCUACAUAGGAUUAGAACUAGAAGGAGUCAAUCUUCGAUUGGUGUCCGGAUCUGUCAAGAGGAUUCUUGGUAAUUCUCUAAUUGUGCUUCUAAUUGUUCUCUAAUUAUCUUUGUUCUUCAAUAUUAUGAAUAUGACUUUGUUCUACUUUAAUAUAUUGCUUAUGACUUUGCUCUACUUGUUUAUAUUCAAGAUUAUAUUGAUCUUAGUUUAUCAUAGUUAUAUACUUGGCUUAGUUAGAUUGGAUCUAUAUACAUGCUUAGGAUCGUAUAGCGUUUAUCCAUUGGAUCCAUGGGUAAAUGAUAGAUAUUGUGUAGGCGUGGUGCUUAUACCGUAUUUAUCUGCGAUUGUACCCAAUAUGCCAGAUCGUGGGGUAGUUUGUGAUAGUGACAGCUUCAUUGAUUCUUAUAUAGUCCCCCUCUCGUGUAUUGGGCUGGCAGAGCAAUAUUAUUACAGGGGAGUGAUUGCUAUGUUUCUCAUUUACCUUGCUAAUAUCACUAUGCAUGGGCGUAGUCUUGUCUCGCAAUGAUUGCUAAGUAUGCUUGCACUAACUAUGAUAAUGCUAGACUAUAUAGUUGAGAAUAACUUAGAAAAUAUUCUUGUAGUUCGUUCUAAUUCCAUGCUAAUGACUUUCUAGAGUAUCUAAUUUAGGUGCUUAUCAUAUUUAUUAUGUGGCUGAUUAGAUUAAUUAUCCUUGUCACUAUUCGUUACUUCAUAUAUCCUUUAUGUGACACUUACCCCUGUAUGAAAGAGUUAGAUAAAUGUUCUCAAUUAUACAUGCAAUGAUAGAUACUCAAUUUUAUAUUCUAUUCUGUAAUCAAUAGUGAUGAUUAUUAAUCCCUUCUCCGUGGUAAAAAUAUAAAUAACGAUACCUGGAAUACUUCCCGGUUAAAAUGCUACAUCGGUAUUAAUCUGUGCGCUUGCAGAUCCCAUUCAUUAUUUAUUAAGAAGAGCAAUUGUAUAUUUCAAUACCGCGUCUCUCAUGUCAUGCUGGGGAUGACAACUUGGCUUAAGUGGUAUGAGGGAUAGGUUUGGCAUUUUUGGCACCGUUACAAGAAUUAGAAAACUAAGUCUACUUUUGGUAGUGAUGUUAAGAAUACCCAACAAGCAUUUUUGGCGCUGUUGCCGGGGAAGGUUGAUUACUAAUCAGGAAUGGAAUAAAGGAUUUUGAGUUAUCAUUCGCAUCACUAAUAUGAUUGAGCUUAUCUAUUCUCUCAUACAGUUUUACCCCGAUAUUCUUCUAUUUUAUCUUAUGCAGGGGAAUGUAUGAAUAGAAGACAUCAUCCAGGAAAUUUUGUUGACAAUCCCGAAGCCUUAUUCAAGAAAACUAGAGCCAAGCUCAAGAAGAGAUCAUCAACACUUCAACAAGAAGCUUCAUCCAAUCAAGAAGAUCACCGGAACUUGUCUUCAGAGUUCGAAGCCAUGGCGAAAAAAUCAAUCCGCGAGUUCUUAGGUCCCACUAUGGACAACAUCCGCACUGGACCUGCUGCAGAGAUCGAUGGCAACUUUGAGCUCAAGCCUGGACUUAUCAACAUGGUGCAAUCCAACCAGUUCUGUGGGAAGGCACACGAAGAUGCUAGUUGUUGACGGUCCUUAAGUAUCAAAUUUAAUUAUCAAAUAAACAAAGAAAAGGAUCCAAAUGAAAUCAACAUCUAGACUUAGGGUUUUAUCUGACAGAAUUCCAUGAGUUUUGGUGUUUGUCUAUUUCUGCAGGGGGUUAUCAGGAAAUACGGAAGAAAGGCCCACAUGUCGGGAUUACAUAGAGAUAUCAACGCACCGUGCAAUUUUCUAUCAUCUAGAAGACUCCACAAGCCACGGGAACGAAUGAGGAGGCGAAACGGGGCCAGGCCCAGGGCGCCCGCCCUGAGGACCUGGGCGCUCGCCCCCUGUUGGAUGCAGCUCAGGACUCUCUUCGCUCGGGAUGUUCCACCGACCUAUUGGAUCAAGGAAAACAUAGUACCACCUCGCCUAUCGACCCAAAAACGCAUAGAAGGGGAGGACUAUAUAAGGAGACCCCCCUGGCCCCUGGAGAGGACAUGAAGAAAUUAUCAUAGAGACUGAGGGGUGCCCUCGAAGGAAAACCUCUUCUCUAAUUAAUAUUUCUUUUUAGGCUUAGCAAUCAAUGUAAGGUAGAAAUAGAUCUUCUAGUUUCUACUAGAUUGAGAGAGAUAGAGUGGAGGUGUAGAUUGGAGGAAGCCCGGCCUGUCGGUGUCUACUCCAAGCUUGUACCUGCGGGAUCAAGUUCUCCUAACCCGAAGCUUGCUCCUAGGAUUCUUCAGUAAUUUGACUUCUAAAUUCUAGUAAGUUUCUGUUUUAUUGUUCUUAUGGUUUUUGAGUUUACUUUAAUCUCUUCGCGUAGAGUUUAGAGUAAUCAUUGCUGGCGUAAACGUGGUGUUUAGGCUGGGGUACUCAUAGAUAUUCCCUGACUAGCUGGACCGUGGUAGUAGUGAGGAACGUGACAAUUCCGAGCUACCUUUGUAGAUCACAUCUCGUUAGCAGGAAGGAUAGGGUUUAUAGGUGCGGGUCGAACAUCCUUUGUGUUGUCUAGAUUCCGUUAGCCUCCCCAUUAGAACAGUAGAUCAUCUUUACCAAGGUUAGAAGGAGACUACGGUUGCAGUCUUCUCUAUUUAUCACUCACAUCGAAAGACAUUCUUUGUGCCUAAAGGGAUAGUAGCAAUAGAUUUGGUUAGUCAGAUGCACCCUUUCUCCCAGUGGUACAAAUAUAAAUACGACAACUCUGGAUAACCUCCCGGGUGAAAUGCUCACCGAUAUCCGUGCGCUUGCGGAUCAUUUCCUUAUUGCGUUACCAAAUAUCAACAAGCAUUUUUGGCGCCGUUGUCGGGGAGAAAGACGGUUUGCUGAGAUAACUUUGAGUCUUGCUAUUAUAUUGUAUUAUACUUUUAUACUUUUAUUCUUUUAUCUUUUUAUUUUUAUCUUUAUGGAUAACUCAAAUUCCAUACCUAUUAUUAAAUUCUUUGCACCUUCGGAGACCAGCCAUAGACCAUGGGAGUCAACACGUCCUGCCCCUAAUUAUGAUCUGUGUCCGGAGUUGAUUGCAAUAGGUCAAAACCAACCCUUUUCUAUAGCUGAGGUCCUAUCUUUUAAUCAAGAAGAUAAUGCACUUUUAGCCACACCUAGGGAAUCUGUUAAUCUUUCUAUAAAUUCUGGUUUAGACCUAGCCCUACAAGACCAUGUUUUUCCUAGAUAUUUUCACAUUGGUCUUAAUCAUAUAACCUUUGGUAGAGUCUUUCUUUCUUUAUCUAUUAGUAAAGGAAGGUAUGUCUUCAUUCGUAGACAUCCUUCUUGCACUAGUCUUCAUAGAAAAAUCUUAGAGAUAGAGAAGGAAUCAUCUCCCAUACAAGGAGAGGAAGUUUCAAUAGCCGAUUUCCAAACAUUUCAAUCCCAUAAUUCGGCUAUCCAACCCAUCCUUGAGCUUAAUAAUUUCUACUAUGCUUUUUCUCUUGAACCACCCGAUAAUCCUAUGAAUCUCUCUAGACAUCCCAUGCAUAAGAAGGAGGAUCGAGAAGAGCAACAUCAAUGGCUAGAGGGCAUUAAAAAUCCAUGUGCUAUCACCAUUGAAUGGAUAGAUAAAACAAACUUGAGAGACAAUCCUAGAGGAAUUUUAAGCAUUCAUGAAAAAUCAUCCUUGGAGUUUAAGAAUGAGAGAAACAACAGUGAGCAUGGAAGUUAUUUCAUAAAUACCUCACCCAGUCCUUGCUCAUAUAAAACAUCUCUCCAAUCAAUUUGUCUCUCCAUCCUUACCACAUUUGAGAUCUCCAACCCCCUCUUCCUCUUCAUUUAUAAAAACUUUAAAAGGGCGGUUGUCGAUGCAUAUGUCUAUAAUAAAUAUUGCAGAUCUCGUUGAGUUGAUCUUGAUAUAGGUAGGUGUUGGAGGGGAAACCACUUCACCAACAUAACUUGAUGGUUUCCCAAGGACAAGCUUAGUGUCCUAAAACAAGGACUUAUCAGAUCAUAACAUGAACUUCUAAUUAUUUGCAACAUUGCCUUGUGUAUUGAGCAUAUAAAAAGAAUUGUAGAAAUAUUCCUUUGGGUAUUCUUGUCACUAACCUUUCCAGGAUUGGAGCAAGAAGAUCGGAUGAAUGACAAGCACAGGGUAUGUCCAACCAACCAUCACACAACAUUGAAUUAAAUUCAUCCAAACUUGAAUUUUGUAAAAUUCAAGCUUGGGGGAGUACUUUACAUAAAAACAUCUUUUGCCAUAUUGCUACGUUGGUUGUCCUUACCUUUGAGACAUGCUCAAUUUGUUAAAUACUAAUUACACUACUUCAUCUCCACUUAAGUAGAUCUCUAUAAAUGCUCUCAUGUACCUUUAUUUGCUUUAGUAUAUGUCUAGGUUUGGAAUAGUUUCAUUUAUCUCUUAAUUAAGCAUGGUGCUUAGUUUAGGAAUGAUGAUCUUACUUCCAAGGGAUUUUAAAUUAAGCAUGGUGCUUAGGUUAAAAUGCCCUUCUAAAUCAAAUUAGACAUGGUGUCUAGGUUGAUUUUUAAGCCGAUAGUAUGCUAUAGUAGAUAUGGGAUAUUUUGUUGGACUAACCCCUGCAGGAAAACUUUCAAUAUCAACCCGGGAAGUCCUAAGAUAAACUCGCAUUGGAGAUGAAGAAAGUGACACAUUAAGUUUAACAAUUUGCACAAGAAAGACGUGGUUCAUAAGAGAUGAUUCAUGGAGGGUGUCACAAACACGAUGCACAACCGCUAAGAAAGGAAAGCUUCCACAAGGUGAUACUGUACCGUCACUCUUCAAGUAAGGUAACACCUUAAGGUACUUGACUAUCGCUUUUAUAAGCUUCUCCUUGGUUCUAGCAUUCACAUAAAUAAAGAGACAAACAUGUAUGAUUUAUAACUCCAGAUUAACCAACUCAAUUAAUUCAACAUGUUUAGUCCUUUAAUCUUUGUUCUUAGUACUACCUUCGUGAUCCCACGCUCCUAAACAUAUAAGCUAAAAUGUUGCACAUUCAAUCUUUGGAAGAUAUAAACAAAACAUAAAUAUAGAUAGAUUAUCUUUCCAUUAGGUUGAGCCAUCUGAUCUGACAAAUGUUUCAAAUACUACACUCAUGAUCUUAUUAUCCAUCAACUUUGUCUUGCUCACUAUGCUUAAGGUUAGAGAAGAACAAAUACACUUUUGGUUCUGUUGGUGUUUUCCACCAACAGAGCCCAUGCACUUGAUCUCUGCCUUGUCUCUAUGAACAGGUACACUUCAAGCAAAACAUGGAGGAGUCUUACAACUCCCAGACUCCACCAAGUGAAGGACCUGGAUCUAUGAGCAUAAACACACUAAGCAGGAAAUUGCCAACACCAUACCCGAACUGCUGGGCAAAGAAGAACAUGGGUGACACCGUAUCAAGAGAUGCAGACGUCAAGGUCCACACCUAAUCAAAUGAUGCACCUAAAGGAUGAAGAUGGUGGAAAGUCUUGUCCAGAAGACUUAAAACAUUGGAUCCUUGUCGGAAGAGGUCAACAUCGUCGACUCAAGUCACCUUUCUUGAUCAAGAAGGACGACCCUGGUGUUCCAAGCAUCGAGUGCACAACCAACAGAUACUCUUUUUAGAAAACACUCUACGACACCGGAUCUAACGUCAACAUAAUGGCCGUAGUCACUUAUCAGCUCCUGCAUGGAACCAUGCCCCUACAACCAAUAUAUUUAGCUCCAGAUGAUUUUCAGGUCAUUGACAUGGGAGAAGACGAAUAUGAUCCACCCACCAUCCUUGGAAGACCGUUCCUCAACACUAUCAAAGCAAUCAUUUACAUUGGAACCGGAGAAGUCCACAUGUACUUCCCCUCUGAGAAGGUACGCAACUAUUUUACUGACCAUAACUAUAUAGUUGAAGACUCUAAGCAGGUCAGGACAAGAAGACGACGCAACCGCAACCAGAGGAGGCAAAUCAUCAAGAACGGAUGGGUAGACUACGAAGGAGAAGUGAUAAGGACUGAAGACAUACAGCUUGAACAGAACUGUCCUGAGGAGACCGUAGCACCGAGUCAGAUGUGGAGGGAGAAGAUAGUUAUACACGAAGAGAGGCGCCGCCGGAAUCACCGACUACGCCACCUAGCGAGUCCCAGGACGACUAAGAAAACAGAGAGUCCCGUUCGAGGACAUAAAAAUACCGAACGCCUUGCCAAGAGGUAAACUUGGUAGUUACCCUUUCCUUUCAAUUAUUCAAUUAUAAUUUGCUUAGUUAAUCAGGUUCAUGCUAUCUUGGAAAGAAAAUAAAAAUGUUAACAAAUAGUAAGCCCCAUGUGAGUAUGCUCAUAGCAUAAAACCCAUAAGUACAUUCACUGUGGUGGCAUAAAAAUAAAAUAAAUAAGUUUUCAUCUUACAAUAAAAAUAUAUAUAUAUAUAUAUAAUAAUAAAUAUAUAUAAUAAUAAUAAGUGUAUGAUCCUGCUAAAUAAAUAACAUUUAUUAAGGAAGCUCAACAUGAUGAAGGCUAGAUAUUUAUGCUAACACUUAAUUAGUUCCACAAGCUUUGUUGUCUAUUUGAGCUCCACAGAAUUUAAGAAUCAAGAAGACUAGCAGACGAAGGACAUUCUAAUCGCUGUCAGAAUGCUGCUGACUUUCAAAUACACCUCUGCCACCUGCUAGCUACAUCAAGAGAAAUUACGUCAAAAUUCAGCUUGGGGGAAAGCACCCCCAUUAUUCUCGCUAAGUAUUUCUACCUAUCUUUAUACUUAUAUUAUGUUAGAAUAUUAAAAUACAUAAACUAUGAAAAACCAAAUAAAGAUUUUGUGCUUAUAUAUAUCUUUUGCUUAGUAUGUUUAAUAAAUAAAUAAAGUGGCUAUGCUAAUCUGAAUCUUAAUAAUAAAACUCUAGCAUGGAUAUGAUGAAUAGUUGCUCUGCCUAAUUUGCAAUUUUGAAGUUCCCUCUCAAGUUUAGACAUAACUGUUAUAAUUUAAAGCUUGCUCUAGAUCUAAACUUGUGGGAUGAAAACUUGAUCUGAAGUCUAAGUUGUUAACGGAUACGAUAUGGGAAGGUUGAGCUGCUGUUUAUCUGUUCCUAGAGAUGCUAGAAUUCUGGAGAAUUUUAUCUUUGAAAAUCUUUAAAAUGUUGCAUGAUGAGUUCCUGUAUGAUGAGAUGUUUAAAUUCCUACCACAGCCAUAUAUACAUGCUUGCUAGACUUUGGGCCACACAUUUACUAUUUACUGCUUAUGAGCAUUGAGUGUGGUCAAGCUGUGUAGACCCUUAGGAGCUUGUCAUGUGGUUAAAUCAAGAUUCACUUGCACGUUCACUCAUAUAUGCUACUUCUACUCCGGAAGUACCAUCCACAUAUAUCCAUCCAUUUCCAUCUCCAGAAUCACCCAAAAAAAUAUUCUACUCCUAAUCCGGGAGAGAAUAGUCAAAAACAUUUUCCUAUCCCUGUUAUUCCCUGUGAAAUAAAUGCUCCAAACAUUUUGGUUACUACCACUUGCUAUAUUAUCUCAAGAGAUGAGUGCUCUGAAAAAAAAAAGAGAAAGAAAAGAAAAAAAAUAUAUAAACGAGGAAAUAAAAAGGGGCAAGUGCCCGGAACCUCGAAAGAAAGAAAAAAGUGAGACGAGAGGUAAAAAAUGGACAAGUGUCCGAUAGUAGAAUUAGGGGUACAAGAUACCCACCUGAGAGGAAAGAAAAAGAAGAGCAUCUCAUUCUCCUCAUAAAGUUUCAAAAAGCAAGGAAGGUAUGUAUCCCCUCAAAAGAGCAAAAGUAGAAUUAGACUUCCACCAUUGUUAUUACCAUCAUCACCAUACACCAUUCAUUCGCCACACAUGCACAUCUUGAUUUGGCUUAUUGAUUUGUUUCUCUGGAUCCAUGGUUUGACUAUACAAUAAAUGUCUUGUAAGUAUGUAUACUUUAUCUCUCACCUAUGAGCUCCAGAUAUUAAAGCCUUAUUAGAGUAGGGUGAGAGAGAAGGCAAUGUCACUAUGCCUUAUACCACAAAUACCACAUUUCUUGAGAGAAGGCAUAUACCAUCACUGCCUUGGUAAGGAUCCAGAAAUACCACAAAAGAGAGAUAUGAGAGAGUCAUACAAGGAAUAAGAGACAAAAGAGAGAUAUGAGAGAAGGCAUAUACCAUCUCUGAGUUUUAUUUGAAAAUCUGCAAAAAAAAACCCAGAGCUAUAGCUGAUCAGGAAUAAGAGACAUGGCACUUGGCUAGACUGUUCUAUCUUUUAACCUCUUAAGACAGAAGUGACGGUUACAAGUCCCAUGGUGAAGGUAAAGUAAGUUUUAAGUCUUGACAGUUUACUCUAACUCAGAGAUGAGAUCUUAUUUAAAAAGCAUGUGUACCGUCAAUUUUUAAAGAUAUUGCAACAACUUCUAAUCCAUUGCUGAGUCUAUCCUUGCUCAGGGACGAGCAAGAGGUAAGCUUGGGGGAGCUUGUUGAUGGUCCUUAAGUAUCAAAUUUAAUUAUCAAAUAAACAAAGAAAAGGAUCCAAAUGAAAUCAACAUCUAGACUUAGGGUUUUAUCUGACAGAAUUCCACGAGUUUUGGUGUUUGUCUAUUUCUGCAGGGGGUUAUCAGAAAAUACGGAAGAAAGGCCCACAUGUCGGGAUUACAUAGAGAUAUCAACGCACCGCGCAAUUUUCUAUCAUCUAGAAGACUCUAGAAGCCACGGGAACGAACGAGGAGGCGAAACGGGGCCAGGCCCAGGGCGCCCGCCCUGAGGACCUGGGCGCCCGCCCCCUGUUGGAUGCAGCUCAGGACUCUCUUCGCUCGGGAUGUUCCACCGACCUAUUGGAUCAAGGAAAACAUAGUACCACCUCGCCUAUCAACCCAAAAACGCAUAGAAGGGGAGGACUAUAUAAGGAGACCCCCCUGGCCCCUGGAGAGGACAUGAAGAAAUUAUCAUAGAGACUGAAGGGUGCCCUCGAAGGAAAACCUCUUCUCUAAUUAAUAUUUCUUUUUAGGCUUAGCAAUCAAUGUAAGGUAGAAAUAGAUCUUCUAGUUUCUACUAGAUUGAGAGAGAUAGAGUGGAGGUGUAGAUUGGAGGAAGCCCGGCCUGUCGGUGUCUACUCCAAGCUUGUACCUGCGGGAUCAAGUUCUCCUAACCCGAAGCUUGCUCCUAGGAUUCUUCAGUAAUUUGACUUCUAAAUUCUAGUAAGUUCUUGUUUUAUUGUUCUUAUGGUUUAUGAGUUUACUUUAAUCUCUUCGCGUAGAGUUUAGAGUAAUCAUUGCUGGCGUAAACGUGGUGUUUAGGCUGGGGUACUCAUAGAUAUUCCCUGACUAGCUGGACCGUGGUAGUAGUGAGGAACGUGACAAUUCCGAGCUACCUUUGUAGAUCACAUCUCGUUAGCAGGAAGGAUAGGGAUUAUAGGUGCGUGUCGAACAUCCUUUGUGUUGUCUAGAUUCCGUUAGCCUCCCCAUUAGAACAGUAGAUCAUCCUUACCAAGGUUAGAAGGAGACUACGGUUGCAGUCUUCUCUAUUUAUCACUCACAUCGAAAGACAUUCUUUGUGCCUAAAGGGAUAGUAGCAAUAGAUUUGGUUAGUCAGAUGCACCCUUUCUCCCAGUGGUAAAAAUAUAAAUACGAUAACUCUGGAUAACCUCCCGGAUGAAAUGCUCACCGAUAUCCGUGCGCUUGCGGAUCAUUUCCUUAUUGCGUUACCAAAUAUCAACACUAGUGCUCAUCUCCAACACUUCCUGCCUUGGUAAGGAUCCAGAAAUACCACAAAAGGGAAAUCUGAGAGAAUCAUACAAGGAAUCUCUGAGUUUUAUUUGAAAAUCUGCAAAAACUCCAGAGCUAUAGCUGAUCAAGAAUAAGAGACAUGGCACUUGACUAGACUGUUCUAUCUUUUAACUACUCAAGACAGAAGUGACGGUUACAAGUCCCAUGGUGAAAGAUAAAGUAAGUAAGUUUUAAGUCUUGACAGUUUACUCUAACUCAGAGAUGAGAUCUUAUUUAAAAGCAUGUGUACCGUCAAAUUUUUUUUAAAAAAGUAUUGCAACAACUUCUGAUCCAUUGCUGAGUCUAUCCUUGCUCAGGGACGAGCAAGAGGUAAGCUUGGGGGAGUUUGUUGAUGGUCCUUAAGUAUCAAAUUUAAUUAUCAAAUAAACAAAGAAAAGGAUCCAAAUGAAAUCAACAUCUAGACUUAGGGUUUUAUCUGACAGAAUUCCACAAGUUUUGGUGUUUGUCUAUUUCUGCUGGGGGUUAUGAGGAAAUACGGAAGAAAGGCCCACACGUCGGGAUUACAUAGAGAUAUUAACGUGCCGUACAAUUAUCUUACAUCUAGAAGACUCCAGAAGCCACGGGAAGGAAGCGGAGGCCGAACGGGGCCAGAGGCAGGGCGCCCGCCCUGUUUCCUUGGGCGCCCGCCCUCUGUUGGAGUCCAAUGAGGACUCUGUUUCGUGGGAGAUCUCUACUGACCUAAAGGAUCAAGGAUAACCGUUCAAUCUAUGUCGGUUUGAUCCAAUGGCUCAUAUUCACUUGAAGGGACUAUAAAACCGGACCCCCUGGCCCCUGGAAGAGGGAGCCUCUCAACCCUAAUUCAUUAGUCUUCAAGGGAGGAGAAGCCUCUGAUCAAGAUUAGAGCCACCACAUCAAUUAGACAUCUAGAUUAGCAUAGCUCCGUAGGAUUAGAACUAGAAGGAGUCAAUCUUCGAUUGGUUUCCGGAUCUGUCAAGAGGAUUCUUGGUAAUUCUCUAAUUGUGCUUCUAAUUGUUCUCUAAUUAUCUUUGUUCUUCAAUAUUAUGAAUAUGACUUUGUUCUACUUCAAUAUAAUGCUUAUGACUUGUUCUUCAAUAUCUUGUCUCUUUGUUCUAAUUAUCUUUGUUAUUCAAUAUUAUGAAUAUUCAAGAUUAUAUUGAUCUUAGUUUAUCAUAGUUAUAUACUUGGCUUAGUUAGAUUGGAUCUAUAUACAUGCUUAGGAUCGUAUAGCGUUUAUCCAUUGGAUCCAUAGGUAAAUGAUAGAUAUUGUGUAGGCGUGGUGCUUAUACCGUAUUUAUCUGCGAUUGUACCCAAUAUGCCAGAUCGUGGGGUAGUUCGUGAUAGUGACAGCUUCAUUGAUUCUUAUAUAGUCCCCCUCUCGUGUAUUGGGCUGGCAGAGCAAUAUUAUUAUAGGGGAGUGAUUGCUAUGUUUCUCAUUUACCUUGCUAAUAUCACUAUGCAUGGGCGUAGUCUUGUCUCGCAAUGAUUGCUAAGUAUGCUUGCACUAACUAUGAUAAUGCUAGACUAUAUAGUUGAGAAUAACUUAGGAAAUAUUCUUGUAGUUCGUUCUAAUUCCAUGCUAAUGACUUUCUAGAGUAUCUAAUUGAGGUGCUUAUCAUAUUUAUUAUGUGGCUGAUCAGAUUAAUUAUCCUUGUCACUAUUCGUUACUUCAUAUAUCGUUUAUGUGACACUUACCCCUGUAUGAAAGAGUUAGAUAAAUGUUCUCAAUUAUACAUGCAAUGAUAGAUACUCAAUUUCAUAUUCUAUUCUGUAAUCAAUAGUGAUGAUUGUUAAUCCUUUCCCCGUGGUAAAAAUAUAAAUAACGAUACCUGGAAUACUUUCCGGUUAAAAUGCUACAUCGGUAUUAAUCUGUGCGCUUGCAGAUCCCAUUCAUUAUUUAUUUAGAAGAGCAAUUGCAUAUUUCAAUACCGUGUCUCUCAUGUCAUGCUGGGGAUGACAACUUGGCUUAAGUGGUAUGAGAGAUAGGUUUGACAUUUUUGGCACCGUUACUAGAAUUAGAAACUAAGUCUACUUUUAGUAGUGAUGUUAAGAAUACCCAACAAUCUUCUCUUUCCACACGUGACUCGGUGCUACGGUCUCCUCAGGAUAAUCUUGUUCAAGCUGUAUGUCUUCAGAUCUUACAACUUCUCCUUCGUAGUCUGCCCAUCCGUCCUUGAUGAUUUGCCUCUUCUGGUUGCGAUUGAGUCGUCUUCUUCUUGUCCUGACCUGCUUGGAGUCUUCAGCUAUAUAAUUAGGGUCAGUAAAAUAGCGGCGUACCUUCUCAGAGGGGAAGUGCAUAUGGACUUCUCCGGUUCCAAUGUAGAUGAUUGCUUUAACGGUGCUGAGGAACGAUCUCCCAAGGAUGAUGGGUGGAUCUUACUCAUCUUCUCCCAUGUCAAUAACCUGAAAGUCUGUAUGGAUAAAAUGAUUGUCUAUUUUGACAGGGACAUCAGUUACUAUACCUUCAAUCUUUCGGAAUGUCUGAUCUGCCAUCUGGAGCUGAAUGUAUGUCAGUUUGAGGGGCAUGGUUCCGAACAAGAGCCGAUAGGUGACUGCGGCCAUUAUGUUGACGCCCGAUCCGGUGUCGCAAAGUGUCUUGCAGAAGUUGUACCAUUGAUGGAGCAGUAGAUGCUUGGCAUACCUGGGUCAUCCUUCUUGGUCAGAAACGGUGACUUAAGUCGAUGAUCUUGACCUCGUUGAACUGCAGUGACCAUCUUAGUUGACUCGGUCUACACUUGUUUAUUCCUGUUCCUCCUGUUGGUCCUCUUCCUUGGUUCAUGUCUGGAUUGCUCUGGGAUUUGUGUAGUCUUGUUCUCGAAGGAAAACGUCUCCUUCCUCCCUUUGAUGUAGAAACUGAUCUUGGCAGCACUAGCAUAGAUGACAGCUCCCGAGGUGUUCAGGAAUGGCCUCCCUAAGAUGACGGGUGCCCUCUCAUCAUUACCGGUCUCUAUCACCACGAAGUCUGCUGGAGCGUAUAAGGUACCAACUCGAAUACAGAGGUUCUUCAACAUUCCCUUUGGAAAACUCAACACCUGAUCUACAAACUGCAAACACAUGGUUGUUUCUAAUAAAGGAUAUGUAAAGAAUUUUUCAUAGAGUACCCUGGGCAUAAUGUUGACACUAGAGCCAAAGUCACAGAGUGCUUCUGAGAAGUCCACCAUGCCGAUGGAGAUCGGGAUGACGGGGCAUCCUGGAUCGCCUCUCUUGACCGGCAGAAGGUCAGUAGUUACUUCCGCAACGGGGUUACUCCAGUAGGUACCUGUAUCAAACAUGUCUACAAGAUUUGCAGAUUCUAUUCCUUCCGGUUGUGAUGGUAUACCGGGGUUAGUAGCAGGAACAACAGCAGCUAUUUGAUUUAACUGAGAUUCAAUCAUUUUAUUAAAGCUAAUUUGAUUCUUGAUGGCAGUAGAGAAAUUAUCCAUUCUAUUAUUUAUAUUUUCUAGCAUUUUAUCAUUAGAUGUCAAUUUCUUAGAUAGGUUAUCCAUUAGCUUUCCUUGAUUAGACACUAACUCUCUCAGAGGUGGAAAAUCAUUAUUAUUAUUGUAAGAAUUUUUACCUUGAUAAUUACCUGAGUAGGUAGGCCUCUGUUGAUUCCAACCUUGAUUUUGUUGAGGACGGUUGUAGUAGUUAUUGUUGUUGUUGUUCAUGUAGUUCACAUCUUGAAGCAUCUUAGGGCAGUGAUUGCCUGAGUGUCCAGUAUCUCCACACUCCUCACAAGUCAUGUGAGAGUCGUAGAUGUGCAUAACUCCUUUCUUAUCUCCAGCUCUAUCAUCGAGCUUCUUCAUGAGCAGGUCUAGCUUAGCAGACAACAUGUCUACCUCCUUCAGCUGAUCCAUACCUCCACCUCUCUUGCGUGUCUAGGUCCUCUCUUCAUUCCAGCCUUGGUUGGACGCCAUCUUUUCCACAAGAGCUGUGUCUUGUGGUAUGGUGAGUGAUAGGAAUGCUCCUCCAGCUGCAGCAUCCAUGGUCUCUCGGGCACUGUUGCCGAGCCCAUGAUAAAAUGUCUGCAUCAGUAGCCAGCUCUCCAUUCCAUGAUGGGGACAUUCUAGGAUGUAGUCUUGGAAGCGCUCCCAUGCUUCUGGAAUGGAUUCAUCAUGUUGUUGCUGAAAACUUGUAAUUUUCCCAUGGAGAGCAUUGGUCUUGCCUAUGGGAAAGAACUUAGCCAGAAAGUUCGUGGAGCAGAGUGCCCACGUAGUAUUCUUUUCCUUUGUAGCAUAAAACCACUACUUCGCUCUCCCCAACAGUGAGAAAGGGAAGAGGCGAAGUAGUAUAGCAUCUCUGGGGACUCCUGAUAUGGUGAAUGUGUUGCAAAUCUCUAGGAAGUGUUGGAGAUGAGCACUAGCAUCUUCGUGUGCCUUCCCACAGAACUGGUUGGAUUGCACCAUGUUGAUAAGUCCAGGCUUGAGCUCAAAAUUGCCAUCGAUCUCUGGAGCAGGUCCAGUGCGGAUGUUGUCCGUAGUGGGAGCUGAGAACUCACGGAUCGAUUUGUUCGCCAUGACUUCGAAUUCUGAAGACAAGUUCCGAGUGAAACUUCGGUGAUCUUCUUGAUUGGACGAAGCUUCGUGCUAAAGUGUUGAUGAUCUCUUCUUGAGCUUGGGUCUUGUUUUCUGAAUAAUGCUUCGGGAUUGUCAACAAAAUUUCCUGGAAGAUGUCUUCUAUUCAUACAUUAGCCUGCAUCAGAUAAAAUAGAAAAAUAUCAGGGUAAAACUGUAUGAGAGAAUUGAUAAUCUCAAUCAUAUUAGUGAUGCAAGUGAUGACCCAAAAUUCCAUAUUCAUUCCUAAUUAGUUAUCAACCUUCCCCGGCAACAGCGCCAAAAAUGCUUGUUGUGUAUUUUUAACGUCAUUACCAAAAGUAGACUUAGUUUUCUAAUUCUGAUAACGGCGCCAAAAAUGCCAAACCUAUCCCUCAUGCCACUUAAGCCAAGUUGUCAUCCCCAGCAUCACAUGAGAGACGCGGUAUUGAAAUAUGCAAUUGCUCUUCUAAAUAAAUAAUAAAUAGGAUCUGCAAGCGCACAGAUUAAUACCGAUGUAGCAUUUUAAUCGGGAAGUAUUCCAGGUAUCGUUAUUUAUAUUUUUACCACUGGGAAGGGAUUGCUAAACAUCAAUGUUGAUUAUAGAAUGGAAUAUAGAAUUGAGUAUCAUUGUAUGUAUAAUUGAGAGCAUUUAUCUAUCUCUUUCAUACAGGGAUAAGUGUCACAUAAAAGAUAGAUAAAGUAUGAAUGGUGACAAAGAUAAUUAAUCUGACCUGCAUAACUUAGCCACAUAUAAAUAUGAUAAGCACCUCAAUAGAUAUUCUAACAAGUCAUUAGCAUGGAAUUAGGAUGAACUACAAGAAUAUUUCCUAAGUUAUUCUUAACUACAAAGUCUAGUAUUGGCAAUCAUUGCGAGAAAGGACUACGCCCAUGCAUAGUGAUAUUAUCAAGGAAUAUGAGAAACAUAGCAAUCACUCCCCUGUAAUAAUGUUGCUCUGCCAGCCCUAUACACGAGAGGGAGACUAUAUAAGAAUCAAUAGAGCUGUCACUACAAUGAACUACCCCGCGAUCUGGCAUAUAGGGUACAAUCGUAGAUAAAUACGGUAUAGGCACCACGCCUACACAAUACUUAUCAUUUACCCACUGUACACAUGGAUAAACGCUAUACGAUCCUAAACAUGUAUAUAAUUCCAAUCUAACUAAGCCAAGCAUAUAACUAUGAUAAACUAAGAACAAUAUAAUUACGAAUAUAAACAAGUAGAGCAAAGUCAUAAUCAAUAUAUUGAAGUAGAACAAAGUCAUAUUCAUAAUAUUGAAGAACAAAGAUGAACAAUUGAAGAACAGUAGAGGAAUUACUAAGAAUCCUCUUGACAGAUCCGGAAACCAAUCGAAGAUUGACUCCUUCUAGUUCUAAUCCUAUGUAGCUAUGUUAAACUAGAGAUCUAAUUGAUGUGAUGGCUCUAAGGCUUGAUCAGAGGCUUCUUCUCCCAGGAUAAAUAAUGAAUUAGGGGUCUGAGCUCUCUUCCUCUAGGGGCCAAGGGGUCUGGUUAUAUAGUUCUUCCAAGUGAAUAUUGGCCGUCGGAUCAAACCGACAUUAAUCGCACGGUUUUCCUUGAUCCUUUAGGUCGGUGGAGCAUGAUCCGCGAAGUUGAAGCUGAUUGGCCCCGAGGCCAGGGCGGGCACCCAAGGGGGGAGGGCGGGCGCCCUGCCCCCGAGCCCGUCCGUUCUCCCGUUCGUUCCUGUGGCUUCUGGACUCUUCUAGAUGUAGGAUAUUUGCGCAACACAUUAAUAUCUCUAUGUAAACCCGACGUGUGGGCCUUUCUUCCAUAAUAACCCCCUGCAGAAAUAGACAAACACCAAAACUCGUGGAAUUCUGUUAGAUAAGACCCUAAGUCUAGAUGUUGAUUACAUUUGGAUUCUUUUCUUUGUUUAUUUGAUGAUUAUAUUUGAUACUUAAAGACCGUCAACAUUCCACAGCUCGGGGACACAUCAAGACCUUUGUCUCUAUUAAUUGUGGCAGAUCAGUAUGGUUCAAAUGUGGACGUAGUACAGAGGAAAUCUGGAGAGCCCACUUUGUCUGAGAUGGACUCACUGAAAAAUUAUUUCAUUGAGAGCGGCCUCUCGUACUCCAUGAUUGAAAAUAUUGCUGCUAGGCUAGAGUUUCCACGUGCGGAAGUAGUUGAUGAAUGGAGGAGAAAUUUUGCACCGGGCAGAAGUCUAAUGAACCCCAAGCACCUACAUGUACUCGGUACGCAGAUGUUUGGAAUCAACAAUUGGUGCAUGGAGGCUUCUAAAGGCAGAGUUGAUUGGAUUUCUAUUCGAAUUCGAAACCACCACUACUUCCGUGGCGAUGACCUUAUCUUAGUCCAGAUGAGCAAAUUACACCAGCUAUGCCACAUGGACACUUUGAACAAAUCUCCCAUUAGCUUCUUUUGUUUGUAAGUAUUUCAUUGUUGUUAUUAAACUCUCCAGCAUGUCUAUAUAGUAGUAAUCCUUACACACGUACUUGUCAAUGGACUCACUAUAUGCAGGCUCCAAAUGACUAAGCUCAGAUCCAAAAAUGACAAUACUCUUGGAUUUGUUGAUCCUUACAUCGUUUUCAAGGAGCCAAACCAUUCGGUGACUUGGAUCAAUGACAUGUGUACGAAUCUUAUGAGGUUCUUCGUGAACCAAAAAGAUAAAAAAAGAAUACUCUUCCCCUACAACUUCAAGUGAGUUAUAUAUAUAGUUAACAUGCAAGUGUGCACCUUUAAUUUUACUUAACCCUAAUCUACGACUCAUGUCUCUAUGAACAGCUUUCACUGGAUACUCAUAGUCAUCGAUCUUGCUGAAAGUAAGUUGGCAAUUAUGACUCAAUGAAGAAACCACAACAAGAUUACCAAAAUAUGAUAGACAUCAUUCAAAGGUAAUUUUGAUCCAUUGCAUGGGUAAAGUAGACUAAGCUUGUAUAUAUGUAUACUUAACAAUCCAACUCUCUUGUUUCAUAUAUAUCAUUGGUUUAGGGUUUGGGAAAGAUUCAUUGUUCGAGAACAUCUAACUCAAUGUAGGGCGCCACUAAAGAUAAUACAGCUACAAGUAAGUUUAUCCUUCGUCAAUGUACGUGGUAUAUCUUAUAUCUUGUCUUUUUUACGAGAUGAAUCUUUACAUCCUACAGUGGAUCUUGAGACAAGAACCGGGGAACAACUUAUGUGGGUAUUACGUUUGCGAGUAUAUUAUGGCAGAAACAAAUAGAAUUCCUGAAGAAUACCUUAGAGUAUGUAACACAUGUCUCUUUUCAUUUUCUCUCGAAUUACUAUUGAUAAUCUUGAUAUAACUAAUACCUUCUUUUAAUUCAAAUUGAAGACUGAAUGGUUGAAGCAAAAACUCAUGCAACAUGAACAACUCCAAGCAAUACAAGAGGCAAUAGUAGGAUUUCUUCGGGAACAAGUCAUAAAUCAAAGCGGCGAGUUCCACUAUAAUCCUAACGAGACGAUGAUUCCAAACAAUAAUGAUCAUUUGUAUGCCCUGUAGAUCUUUGGAUGAUAAAAGAACAACUUGUAAUAGGUUUAGAGUAUUAACUUUGGAGUACAACUUGUGCAGUAAUAGAUUUGGAGAUCAACUUAUAUAUAUUUAUGCGCAUAUAUUUAUAUAUAAAUGUAGUUAUAUAAUUCAAUUAUAUAUGCAUAAAAUAAGCUUAUUGUCAUACGCUGCUAAUAUUAUAUAUAUAUAGGAAAAUUCCUUUCUACACGUACGUGUAGUUACUCUCAUCCUCAAUAAACUACAUUGUGUAUGUAUUCAUACUUGUUUAUAUAUAUAUAUAUAUAUAUAUAUAUAUAUAUAUAUAUAUAUAUAUAUAUAUAUAUAUAUAUAUAUAUAUAUAUUAGCAGCAAAGAAUACAUAUUGGAAAACUAUUAAAUGAAUAAACAAAACUAAAAACAAAACUGAAAAGAAAAGAAAAAAAGAUAAAACCAGGGCCAGUAUUACCAGCCGAGACUAAAAGGUGCUGCUGCGUAGCACCACUGCCAGUACCCUUUAAUCCCGGCUUGUAAUACCGCCUGAGACUAAAGGGGGGGGCUUUAGCCUCGGUUCACGGAGCCGGAACGAAAGGGGGAGGCCUUUAGUCCUAGAAGCGUAGUCCCGGCUCGAAAUCCGAGACUAAAGCCCCUUCACAACCGGAACUAAAGCCCCGAUCGUGUAGCAGUGUUGGCAGUGGCGGUGCUGGCUUCCAUCCUGCUGCAUUCAUCCAUUCAACUCCUCCUGUGACUCCUCAGCCUAUUUCUCGACAGCUGUGACCCUCCCUUAUCCAUUUACCUCUCCCUAUUUCUCGACAGCCUAUUUCACGACUCUUUUUUGUGCUAAGUACUUUAUAAACAAUAAAAGUUUGUUAUCUUAAGCACAAAAUGUUUUAAUCAUCCUUUAUGUGUAUUAAUUUUUCAUAACAUGUAGUAUCAGUUCUAUGUUCAGUUAUUCUUUCAUAAACCUCUACUGCCCUAUCCACAAGUUUUGUUAUUUGACCCACAAAUAUAUUUUCUGGUGCCCUAUAAUCAAAGCCCUCUUGCAUAUACUCCUUUAUCCCAACGUACAGAUAAUUCUUCUUCCCACAAUAAAUUGUAGUUUUUUCUCAUCAAUAUAGAUCAACUCUUCAAGAGUCUUUAUGAUGAAACAUGUUAUAUACAAUAGAAUUGUAUUUUUCAAAUCAAGAAAUGUUUCUUUAUCAUGCAUCCCUUUAUCCCUACAUAUAAAUAUUGAGUGUAGGAGGCCUUGACAUCAGCAGUGAUGUUGCGUUGUCUCGUGAUGCAUUAUGAGAUCUCUCACUGAGGAAUCAAAGAUUUUCCACAGGGUUAUGUUGUAUGGUGCAAGCGCGCAAUAACAUGGUACCAGGACUGGCGACAUUGCAUUGGCUACUAAGGCUAUCUCCAACAGCGCUCAUGCAAAUAGAGUACCCAUUCUAUGUUUGGGUCACACACACAGUAGAUGACUCAGCUACCUAAAUCUUUGGCUUCUCCAACAGCCACCCCAAAAAGAAAACCCACCUCCCCGAGCUUGCCGCCUUGCCCCUGUCUCCUCGCCGAGCUCGGCUCUCUCUUCUCACCAAGCGAGCGAGCGCCCCUGGCCGAGCGCCCACAUCCGCAGGCCCCCACCGGCACUGCGGUCCCCGGCUCGCCGUCGUGGAGGCGCGGUCCUGGACCAGUAGCAGCUCACUGCCGUCGGCGAAGAUGGCGGCGGUCCCAGAGACCCGGACCAGCAGCAGCAGCUCGCAAGCGCUGCCAUGUCCUUCGCCGACGAGCUCUUCCACCAUGCCAGAUCUGUCGUGUCUGCCUCGCCGCCGUGCCCUGCUCCGCGCUCCUCGUCGCGUCGUCGGUCGCUCGUCGUCGUGCCGGCAUCUGCCCGCCGCGGAUGCGGCUGCGGCUCCUCGUCGUGGGCUCGCCGAGCUGAGCCGGCUGCGCCCCAUCGCGGGCAACGCCUUGCCGCGGGCCCACCACUACGGACGUUGUAGAUUUGUGUUGUCCCUCUCGGUGACGCAUUUUUGCCUUCUGGGUCGGCAGCUACGCAAAAUGCAUCUUAUCUUUGCCUUCUCUGUUGGAGCUCGUUUUUGGGACGCAAAACACUAUGAAGACCUAUUUUUUGGGUUUCGGUCACGCCGUUGGAGACAGUCUAAGAUACCUAGAUAUACUCUAGCUUUUUGUCAUCAGUUUCCUAAACAUGGCUCAUUUAGAACUGAAUUUAUAUACAAUAGAUGUAUCCACUAUACAAUCUGAUCAAAUUAUUUGCUUCUUUAAUUGAGGCCUUGUUUAGUUGCCAAUUUUUUUCAAGAUUCUCCGUCACAUCGAAUCUUACGGCACAUGCAUAAAUCAUUAAAUAUAGACGAAAACAAAAACUAAUUACACAGUUUGCCUGUAAAUCGUGAGACGACUCUUUUGAUCCUAGUUAGUCUAUGAUUGGACAAUAUUUGUCACAAACAAAUGAAAGUGCUACAGUAGCGAAAUCCAAAAAAGUUUCGCGAACCAGGCCUGAUAAUAUCUCCGCAACCGGCCUCAAAUAACCAUGUUGUGUAUGCUACUAUCAAUUCAUUCUCGAAGAUUCACGAUUUAUAUUAGUACUAGGUAGCGUGCCCGUGCGUUGCUACGGGACAACUAAAUUUUUAUACUCAAAACACACAGAUCACAUGAGAAAAUAACAAUAAUAUAAAAUUAAAUAUCAAUAUUGAAGUGACACUUAAUCCAAAUAGCAAAGUUCUUGAAAUUAUGCAAGUUGUUUCUUUCUUGCUAAUCCCAGUGGACAGUUCCAAUCACUGAUUAGUCUAAUUAGUAAAUUCACUAUUGUCUUUCUUUCUUUCGUUCGUUUCUUGCUUUUGUUUAAAGAAAAGAAUAGCUAAAAUUUAAUGUAGAUUUUGUUAGGCAUGUUUAUGCAUUUAUGGCAUUGCUCCAAGACAUGAUUAUUAUAUCUUCCAUUUUUUAUAAGAUUCAUUUAGUGCAGGAGCAAAUUAGCAUGUGAAAAAUAGAAAGAAAAAAAGGCAAACCAAGCGUAGCUGCAUGGUGAUGAAAGAAAUUUCUCACCUCACAUCUACUGCAAGGAAGAGACAGCAGGGUGGUGCACAGUCGGGGUUUGGAAUUGCAAACUAUUUCUGAAGCAAAACUUCAGAUAGCUAGAUAAGUAACAGGAUGCACGAUACAUGAUGGAAUGGUGAGGCAUGGAUCUCCUUAGGUGGAAUGGCAAGUACUAUCCCUAGUUCUAAUUGGAAUGCAGCAAAGAAAACUGCAAUUUAACUUCCAACAUCAGUAGUGCACUAAAAUCUUAUUUCCACAUGGUUAUUGCUUAAUGACAUAGGGGCAAAAAUUGGUACAGCUGCACAUCCAUGCAUCUUUAAGAAAAUCUUUGCUCGUUUUAACUUAGUAAUCAUAUGUUUUUUCUUUGUAGAAAAUAGAAGGCCUUCAGAGCUACACAAAGCACUGACCUAUUCUCUAUGCUAUUUAUGUGACAGACCUAUUUUAGAAAUUUAUUAGACUAAUUUAAGUGGACUACUAUCAUAUGUUUUUUCUUUGUAGAAAAUAGAAGUCCUUCAAAGCUACACAAAGCACUGACCUGUUCUCUAUGCUAUUUAUGUGACAGACCUAUUUUAGAAAUUUAUUAGACUAAUUUAACUGGACUACUAAAGCAUAUUGGGAACUUUUUUGCAAAAUCAUGCAUUAAAAAAAUGGCAACAGUUAAAUGUUUUGCCUUUGGUUAAUUAGUGAGCUAAAAUAAAGAAUUAGAGAAAUGAAACACUACAAAAUCUAACAUUUUAAUAGUCUCCUUUGCUCACACGUGACACAGCCAAAGAAAGAAAGAAGGCAAGAGUACGCUAUCACUUCCUUUAUUGCAAUUGUAAUAUAUUCUAGACACAAAGUGAAUUGCGGACUAUGGAAGGAGGAAUGUCAUGUUUCAUGGCCCUAAUGUGAUCCUGCAAUGUGGCAAAUUGGUGCUCUCCACUGUGCUCACCACCUUAAUCCAUGCCACAACUACCAACAGACAUGAAACACAUCCAUACUAAGAAUCAUAAAUUCAGAAUAAUGCCGGCACACACAAAGUUCUUCCGGCCGCACAUUUUUUUAGCACCAGCCACUUCGUCGAGAUGCCCAUCAGCUGCCUCAACCGUAGUAACCUAAAGAGGCAAUUUUUUUUGUUUCUUUUAGCACCAGCACAAACUGCAGCACAAUGUCACACGACAGGGGGGGAGGAGUGCUCACAUUGCUUAUUCAGUCCAAAUUUAGCCAAGAACUCUACCUGCAGAUCAGGGGAUGCUGGGGCCACCUGAGGUUCCAAAUUUUCAGCAUCAGUUAUAUCACAUGAAACUAACAGCUUACUUCGUCCUAUAGAAUUAAUGCUUGUUGAAAGUGACGCCAACUGCGCCUGGUCGUAACUGCAUAAUUGUAUUAAUCAGGUCCAGUUAAUGCUCCCAUCCUAAUAGUAAAAAAUCAACUUAGCAAUAGAACAUUCAGAAAUAACAUUUGAGCACAAAAGCAUAUAUUUGCAAGCAGAGAGGCAGCAGAAACACAUCCAACAAUUAAAUGAUGGGUAAAAACCAACCCUAAAUUCCAAAUCAGUGUAAAAAUAAUUAGAGGGCUAAUAAGUAUUGAGAUGCUAUAAUGCAAGAAGUACUCACGGCUUUGCAAUCUCUGUAAUAUCAAACCAGGAUCAAGGCCUUUAACAAUACAAUCUCGAACUGCAUAAAAGGGAGAAAGCAUGAGUAAAAUGACAGCAUAAUAACAAUUUUCUUGUAAUAAACAUAUAAACUAUUAGACAUUGAAACUUGAGAAUGCUCUGACCACAAAUGGUUGGCCAGCAGCUAUCUCCAAAAGAUCCCCUCCUACAAAAUUUAAUUCGAGUCAACAUAAUAAAAAUGAUAUAAUAAACCAUGGACUUCUUCUUUUCAAAUUGGUAGGGUCACACAGCAUUACCGAUUGUAGCAAGUUUGUGCUUCUUCUUUUCAAACCUCUCCGGUAGGAAAAAGGACGCCGAUUUUAACCAUAGCUUUAAACACCUAUAGGAAUACAAGAUUCAACACUUCCCAGAACAUCACAGGGUAUAGGUUAUCAUCAGCUGCUAGCUUAGGGAAAGGAGAGGAAAGAACAUGUAGGUGGCGAUGAGGAGUUGCCAAGAUACAGCAAGCUGCCCACUUUCUUCCUAGCCUCAUCUUCCUUCUCAACCCAUAACUUAUGCUCUAUCCCACAAAAAUAGCAAUGGCCAAUUAAAAUAUAGAUUUCUGUCAAAAAAAUAAUUAAAAUACAGAUAAUUCAAGCAUUCAUGGAUGGAUGCCUUGCCAAGCAUUCGAAAGCCUUUUACUCAGCAGGGAAUUUCAUCAAACACCGUACAUGCAGGAGGUCGUGGCAGGGACGCCCGACUACAUGGAUCCGGAGUUCGUCAACAACAGGAGGCCGAGCGCGGAGGCCGACGUCUUCAGCUUUGGCGUCGUCCUUCUAGAGCUCGCCUGCGGCCGGCGGCCGACUGCCGCAAGACCAAACGCAACGGCGACUCCGGUGCUGCUUAUUGACUGGAUCCGCGACAUGUACCACAAGAACACCGUUCUUGGAGCGGUGGGCCGGCGGCUGGAUGGUGAGUUUGACGACCGGCAGAUGAGGCGAGUGCUCGUCGCGGGCCUUUGGUGCACGCAUCACGACCAGAGCCAGCGACCGCCGAUCGCAACGGUCAUGGAUCUCCUGCGACGUCAGGAUGCCGAGCUUCCCAUCCUUCCAGAGAUGCAUAGUCCUGCUACUGCCUCGGUCCGUUCCCUUGAAGAAAUAGCUUAUGGCGACUUGGAUUUCGUCCGUGCGCGCGGCCAGCGGGCUCGCGGCGGCUCGCGGCGGGGGGCACGACCACCGGCGUGCGCGCGGCCAGCGAGCUCGCGGCGGGGCUUGACCACCGGUGAUCGAGAGGAGCGGGGGCAGCUGCGCGGCUCACUGACCGGAGAUUGAGAUGCGGCGCGGCCACCGCGGCGGUGCUUGACUCGCUGACCGGAGAUUGAGAUGCGGGGAGAGAAACCAGGAAUGGCGAGAGAAGGGAAGGAAUAUAUUGUUUCCUUUAAUCGGAGGCUCGGGUCGCGUUCGCAGGUGGGGGAACGGCAGGCGGACGAAAAAAUUGGCUGCACCAAAAAAUGUCCAUCUUUUACUCUUUUUAGUUGUAGGAGAUAAUACUUUUGUUGCAAGACCUCUUAACAGAUACGAAGCCUAAGUUGCUGCAUUACCUACCUUUCCAUCAAGAGAACCAGGCUCACAUGAUACUGACAAAUUUCUUUAAUUCUGCCUUGAAGGAGUCUCAUUUUAGAAAGUUUGAUAAGCAAGGUCACUUUAGAGCGUGUUCGCUUGUGUAAAAAGUCAUGGUUAAAAGCAUUGUUUGCUUAAAUGGCUGCGGCAGAUAAUCUCAAGUGAACAGGCUGUUAGAAAGUUGUGAUCAACAUCCAACGAUGGUGCUAUUUGUGGUUUGUAUAAUGAAUUAUUAUAGUUGAUAGUAAUUUGUUAUGAGUACUUGAUCUUGCUGAAAAUGUGUAGUAAUUAUAAGUUUCACCCGUUCAAAUAGCAGAUUUGUGUUGAUCAAAAGGAAAGUCUCCUUUCAUAGCAAAAGAAGAGAACAAAUAUAUAUAAAAUAAAAAAACAUUGUUCUUGACAGUGAUAUAGCUUGAGCACUGCCAACAAAAAUAUAAAAAAAUAGAUGCAAAACAAGUCACGCAAAAUAUUUACAAAAAAUUAAAAAACGUGAAAAGUUCAUGCAAAACGGUAACAUGCAGGAAAAAGAACGCCACGGAAAAAAGAAACAUGCCGAAAAAAAAGUGAAAAGUCCACGUAAAAAAAGGAAACAUAAAGUUACUCAACACAAAAGGAAAUACAAAACUGGAAAGCAAAUAGAAAACUGGAUCGAUGGCGGAAGGGAAAAAAAAUACUAAAAAAAACAGCGGCCACGCAUGCGGUCCUGCGGAAGGAAAAAAAAAAAACCCACGCCUCCUGUGGACGUGCGCCAGACGCUGGUGGAGCGGAGGUGUCGGGUACUAUUUAGCGCCCUUAUAUAUAUAUAUAUAUAUAUAUAUAUAUACCAAAAAGUAUAGAUAGGGGACUUUUCUAGUGACCCUUCGAAAAAAUAGACAAACUCAAAAUAAAAAAAAGGCAAAUAGGCAAAUUCAAAUGGAAUGGCCAAGAAACUAAACGAAAUUCAUUUUGGAGCUAAAUAGGCAAAUUCAAAAUAAAAAAAAUGCCAAAAAACACUAAACAUGACUUCUUUAGGCCUAAAACUAUUUUUUCUCAAAAAAAUACUUAGGACCCGGGCAGACCGGCAGCCCAAGCAGCAGUCCAACCAUCUCCUUAGCCCAUCCGUCGACCCAUAUUCCAUUCGCAGUCGCAGGUCGAGAAUGCCAAACGUUGGCUUGCUUCCGGCCUGCGCUGCAGCCUGGCGCCGUGGCUGCAUGCCCGCACCCUUUCAUCUUCGUAGUCUCGCAUCUCAAAAUCCUCCGCGGGGGCGAGUGCCGAUCGGCCGGCAGCCGCAAAUCCCAGGGGGUAGCCGCCGGCAAAAAGCUUCGUGGCCUCCGUGUUCCUUGCGUUCUACUCCGUAGUAAAGAACGUGCUCUUUCAGAGUUUCAGUCUUUCAGACGAUACCAAGUAUCAAUGCUACUUUACUAUUCCAUUGGAUUUCAGAAAUUAUAUGUAACACUAGUUAAUUCACAUAGUUUGUGACGAAGACAGCUAAUAAGAUCUGACGUAUUUGUAGCUUUGCAGCUCCCGUCAGCCAAAGGUGGCGAAGUUGUACAGCAAGUGACAGCAAGCCGCGGCGGCGCCAACAGGCAUGCCGAUAGUUGUGCUAGCCUCGCCGGGGACAAGGGACCUGGUCGCCGGGGCACCGAGUUGGAAGUCUGGAACUGGAAGACGAGGGGAGGUGAUGAGGAUGAUUCCGCUGGUCUGUCCUCGCAACAGGACGCUGAAAAAUUGCUGUGAACCCGACAGCUGUGACAUGAAACGAGAGCAAUGGAGCAUUCAGUCUUUUCUAGGAUUCCAGUUCCCUGAGGCUGCUGAUAUGCAAGAAAUGAAGGGUUCGUAAGGUUGUACUGUUCCAGGCUAGCAACCUACCCCAAUCCAACCUGGUGCUGUGUCUGUAGCCUUCCUUCCAGGAUUGCUGGAUGGAGUGAUGUAGAUGUGCUUGUGUGAAUUGGUCUCCGUAAGAUCAGUGAUCCAGAUAUUCGAGUGUUUUUGCAUUUCAAUUUCGUAUAUUUCUUUUUAUAGCAGAGCGGGUAUCAGCUGUUUCCUGGUAUUUUGGUAGCAAAAGCUGUUGCGUUAAGUUAGGUGUGAAACUUGCAUCAUCUUGCGUUCAGAACUGAAUGCGAUGCUUCUGUUUCCAGCCAGUAAUUCAUCAUGAAAUGAAUUCAAGAGGACGACAGGCUACUCUGAGUGUCUGUUUAGCUGGCUUUGUACCGGUGGCAGCCGGCAAAAGUAAUGCAAGUACUUGUGUACUGCAUCAAGUUUAUAGCCGCACAAGGACAUCCAAGAACUUGGGCGAUGCGCCUCCUGGCUGUUACAGCUCUUGUUUAGGGUGUCUAACUUUCUUUGGCACGCAUGCUCACGAGGGGCUCCUCUACAGGAGCUGGAACUAUUUUUAUGAAGCCAUAAAUUAUGGUUUCGUUAAAACGGUUUCGACUUCUCUGUUUUUUUUCUCAAAAACGGUUUCUCUAGAAAAACGUUUGGCAGGUCUCCACUGGAGGAGCUAGAGUCGGAGAGGAGCCCUGUCAAACAGGCUCUUACUCAUCUCCAGCAGCAGGAGUCCAAAAAAUAGGAUUUCAGUGCUCUAUCUAUUUUAUUGGUUUAGUUUUUCACUUAUAAUUCAACGGUUGCACCUAAAUUUUAGCCCCAAAUUAAUUUUAAUAGAAACUGAUAAACAGGACCAAGGACAAAGGCAGAAAAAAAUUUAGGAGGGGCUGAACAAAAGUUCUACAUCAACUUAGCUCUGAACAAAAAAUUUAGCAGAUGCUGUGAUGGCUGGAGGGGAGGGAGGGGUCGCCGCGUCUGUGCAGGCCCUGUGCCGCCAACCAUGAGGAAGGAUCAAUCCACGCGUGAUUCCGGAUUUGGUGCAGGGAGGAAACGGCAGCAACGACAGGGUGGUGAGCCCAAUGGACCAGAGUCUGGAGGGUGGAUUGGAUUGCCCACCUAAAUUUUAUGUUCUUUUCUUUUGUCUAAACUCAUAUUUAACUAUGAGAGCUUAAAUAGAGGUUCUGCUGGAUUAACGGUCUGUAUAGCUGCUAGUGGUUUUAAGAUAAAUAUUUGGUGCUAUUUCGAAAUGAUUGUGUUUCUUAAACUCGGCAUUUGUUCUGUACUAUCUUUUUUCAAAAAUCUAUUUAUAAUAUAUAAGCAACAGGGGGUAACUCCUGCUGAUCCCAUAGAAAAAAAUGAUUGCGUUCCUUAGAGCAUCUCCAAGAGACUAGCUAAAAUUAUAUUCUAAAUUACAAGAUUUAGCCAUUGUGUAAAAUAAAAAACUCACUCAAAGCAUAGAGUUCCACAACAGCCUUUGUAUAGGAUAGCUAGUGAGGACGACAUGCUAUAUAUGACAAGCGAAAGUUUAGGAAUAGCAAACUUGCUAUUUUAGCAAACCAGAUAGCACAUCUGUUGGAGUUUAACUUUUGCUUUAAAAAUAUAAAAAUAGCCUAGACAACAUGAAUAGCAUAUCUGUUUUGGAGUUGCUCUUAGAAAUACAAAUACACCAGACCGAUCUACGCCUCAAGAUGUUGUCCAAGACGUCAAGUAAUGCUGCAGUCUGCAGGCAAGGCAAUGACAUUUGGUUCCUAAGGGCCACGUAUGAGGUUAUGAAUGAAUGACGUGCUAUUCUAUUCGUUGAGCUGUAAGGCUGUGCACAGGUGUACGCUACACCCAUAAAGCCUGCCAGUAGUACUAACCUCUCAACGUAGCUAAUGGUUGAAAUGUGCUCGUUUUUAUGUACGUCACACAUAAACCAGAUUGUGACCUGAAGAUGUCUAUCAAGAAGCUAUAGUUUUUUUCUUAACAACAACAAUGUAAAUAAAGAUCAAAUCUAGGUUAAUAGCACAGCAACGUAUGGUCAUAGGAAAAUGAAACCGGAGUAACUGAGGUUAAGUGUUUGGCCAACGAGCAAAAGGGGUGAUUACAAAAGCCACAUUAGCACCUAAGGUGCCAACGAGCAAAAGGGGUGAUUACUAAAGCCACAUUAGCUACUAAAUGAACUUGCUAUUUCUUGUUUAUUUGGCAAAACUAGAAAAUAGUUACUCCAACAAUUUGGUAAAUGGGUUGCCAUCUUUUGGCAACUUGCCAUCCAGCAGCACCGCGUGUCCAUAUUUGUUAACUUGCUAUCCAACAGAUUAGUUGAUUUGGUUGUUAGUUAUGGGUCUUUUUUUAAGUUUAUCAAGCUCAAUUGGCAAAUUGUUGGAGACAGAAGAAAAUCUCACUUACCAUAUGUUUUAGUAACUUGCCAAAUCAUAAGAUUUGACAAGUGAGUUUUACCAAACUAUUGGAGAUGCUCUCACCUAAGGUUCUGAAUUCGACUUCCUGUAAGAGCAAAAUUUCAAGAUAUAAGGGUAUUUGUGCUUUCAGUGAUAGAUGACGUUUCUAUUGAUAGUGUGGUGUAUGGUCAGUGAUAGAUGACGUUUCCAUCAACAGUGAGGUGCUUGUAGUGACUUUAUCAAUCUCAUCUCAAGGAUUUGUCGACUCGGUCAUUAGAGGUGCUCAUAAGGAUAAGUCUGCAUUUGUUGCGAGCGUCUGCAUUGUAUGGUGAAAAUAAGAAAAAGUGUAUGGCCAGUGCAUUCUCAAGUCUGAGCCAACAUUGUUUUUACUAUUCAAAAAAUUCUGACUGUCAAUGGUAUUUUUGGUUAAGAUGAGCUGUGAGUAGUCUUAUCAAUGCAAAACAGUGAUGAGUAAUUGAGUAUCCCAUUUCUUCGUUGUUCCACAUGUCCUAAUGAUGCGCACUUGCAAGCCCAUGCAUCGGAAUGACUGAAUCCAUUCCGCUCCAUUCUUUUUAACACAAAUUGGUCUCCCCUAGCUUCUCCCCAUGUUGUUCAACUCUCCUGCUAUCAUGUGUCGAUCCAAUCGAGCCUGAAUCUUAGCCCUCCUGUGUCCCCUAGAGAAAACAACCAGAAACGAAAACGAGGCAGGCUAUAAAGAGCGGAGCCGCGGGCAACAUCCCCCGCCCCGCCUUCAAAUGCAAUGCAAGUCUCCCUCCUCACACCACAGUCCACAGGUUGCGGCACCAGACUAGCUACGACGACGCCAGAGCAAACCUGUGAAAUCGCCGCGCGCGCGCACGCUCUCCCGCCAGGCCGCCGCCACCGCCACAACCUUUCCAUGCGCGCGCGCGCACCUGCGCCUGCACACGCCGCUCGAGUCCUGCGUCGAUCUCCUCGCCGCCGUCCCUAGCGAUGGCUUCGUCCCCAAUAGCGCGGCGGCUCUAUUACCUUCUCCUGCUGGUACUCCUCCUGCUCCCCGCCACGCUCUCCUCUCCGUCCGCCCGCGCUUCCUCGGAGCGCCUGCGCCGCCGCGUGGAGGACAAGCCGGCGUUGCCACCCGCCGUGGUCGUCCCAGAGCGCGCGCGGCAGGAGUUCCACGUGGUGCCAACGACCGGCGGACCGGUCAGGGAGCGGAGGAGCAGGGCGCGCGGCGGGGGCACCGGCGCGUGGACGUUCUCGGCGAUGCUGCCCCGGGGGUUCGUGCCGCCGUCGGGCUCGUCCGCGUGCCACAACGACAUGCCGGACACCGCCGCCGACGCCCAGUUCUUCGCCUGCAGCGGCGCUGGGACGCCGUGACGACAGAGGCCGCCGUGGCGCUGGCUCGCAUCUCUCUGCCAAUGCUACCCCCUGCCCUGAGGGGCUCCUUGCAAGUGUAAAUGCGGUGAGGCUUACUCUGUUCUUGUCUACACUUUUACCCCUGAAGCCUAUAAGAAGGUUGACUUCACGAUGAGUAAUUGCGUAUAUCCUUGUUAUUGGACAUGUAAAGGAGAAUCCUUUAUUCAAAUGCUUCUUAGUUCCUCAACAUAUAUGUGCUCUCUUCAUUGGCCGCAGUUCUUAUCAUGAGUUGAAGUUGAGUUCUGCCUUUUCUGUUACAUAAUCCACGGAGUGUCAUUCACCUUUUGUUCAGAACUCUUUUUUGACAGAAAAAAAUACAAGCUACUUACGUAGCUUAAGGGCUUUUAAUUGUUUUUUGGAUCUCGCCAUUAAACUAGGCUUAGAGUGCAUGUAAAGCUCGGACGGCGCCUUGGAGUUUCUUGGAGGUAGGAGCAGAGGUUGAUGCUUUUGGAGCAGGGGAUUACGGCUUGGAGUUCUUGGAGGCGUGCGGAUCAAGAGCAGGAGCGUGGGAGCUAUAACUAUAACCAAAUCGGGUGGCAGAUCGAUGCAUGUGGGCGUCGCAUGAUCUAGGGAGAUUUGGGGGCGGUGAUUUGGUGAGUUCCCAUGAACGCACGAUCGCCGUCUAGCAGCGCCCGAGUGGCGAAUGAUGAUUGUAUUUUAUCGUCGUUUCGUGGCGUCUACUCCAUGCAGUGCAGUGCAGCAGCCGCGGCGAAACAAAUUAAAGCACCUUUUAUAAUUUAUAUUAACACUAGAUAGUGUGUCCGUGCGUUGCUACGGGAUAGCUAACAUUUUUAUUUAAAAUACAUGGUUCGCAUAAUAAGAUAAUAAUAUUAUAAUCUCCUACUUAAUUACCAACUUGAAAAUGACAUUUAUCUAAAAAAACAAAUUUUGUGAAAUCAAUAACAAUCACAAAGAGCACGACGUUGUAGACUCACAAACUCUAGUUUAUAGACCUUUCCGUGAUACGGCUAAGAUAUGUUUAAUAUCGACAGGAAGAUAUCUCUGAUAUCUAUUUUUUCGUGCGCCAGUAAAUCCACAAAUAAAUUUCGCCACAUCUCCGUACCAUCCUAUCACACAUUCGAGUAUAUAUAUGCAAAUAUUAGUGUGUGUCGCACAGGUAGCACUACAUUUUGUUAAAAAACUUUUACAAAAACUUAGACAAAGUGUUAUACUCACUGUAUAAAUAUGUGUAGCUUUUGGUCUAUUUCAUGUAGACAUAUAUUGUAAGAUGAGAAAUCCACUAAGUACCUGAUGUCCACAAACUGUGCUAUGUUGUCAGACUUGCCUGAUAGGUAACAGUGAUAAGUGUCACUCUGCUAACUGAAACUAAGAAUUUCAUCUCCUACUGCAGCAUGUGAGAAUUUUAAAACCCGUAGCAACUCUAGAAGUGCUGCAUUUUUUGACAAGUAGAAGUGCUACAUUAGCUUGAUUCCUUAUUACUACUGAACAGGUCAUUGUUUGACUAUAUUUGACUAUUCAUACUGAAAGCAAGAGCAAAAACAAUUAAAGAACAGGAGGUGUUUCUCACGAGUCAAUGGAUGGCUGGCUUGCUUCCGGUCGGAUGCAAGGAUGCUUGCGGCGUCGGGCUAUGCGCACACGCACCGGGGCUAGCUAGCGCAUGCCCAGGUUUGGUGCGAGUCUUUUUUGUAUUUUGCAUUGCUCCGUUCAAAAGAAACAUAAUCUUCUAAUUUGCAUUACAGGUAUAGCUUCUAAUGUGUGUAUGCAAUAGUUGCUCAGAUGAAACAUAUGCAAUCAGCUGCCUUAUGUGGUGAGCCUUGGUGCUGCAUUACUUUAAAAAAACAAAAAAUACAGUGAUACGUACGUCAGAUGCACACAUGCUUAUACACUCGUAUAGAGGGAUGGGAAUACACUCGUAUGGAGGGAUGGGAAGCUAGAUACGGUCACGACCGUUACAACUGAUUGACAAAAUAUAAAUUGUAAAUACAGGGUCACGGCUGUUACAACUGCUUGACAAAUGGCGUGGCGUGGUGGUGGCUUCUUACUGUCAGCUUCGCACUCGCGGUCGUAGGGGGCGCUCAGGACCGUUGUCGUGUCCUCCGCGGUCCUGCUCUGGUGGAACCUACAGAUCGCGCGGGGGAGGGACAGCAGCGGCUACGUCAGUGGGGGCGGAGGGGAUCGCAAAGCGGAGGAACGAUGGCGGCGCGGUGGGGAGGCGCUGCGACGGCGGCGGCGUCAGUGGGGGCGGAGGGGAGGGGCUGCGACGGCGGCGGCGUCAGUGGAGGCGGAGGGGAGGGGACUCUUGGAUUCCUUUGUGUUGGGGACUGGCUGCGCAGGAGAGAACUUUCCUUCUGUGUUGAAGCAAGCCGCAUGGGAGCAGGGAGGGUUGCCAUGUAAGAUGCCGCUUGGAGUCAAUCACGCUAGUGCUACUGUUGCAUGUGUCGGGUUCCCUUUUAAUUUCAUCCAUACAUAUUUUUUUCUUCCUUUUGGAGCUACAUGCGGGAUCGCAAGAGGAGAGACUAAGGUUACACCAAACAAAAGUUGCACGAAAAAAUUAUCUUCCUUUUGUUUUUUUUAGUUGUAGGAGAUUUAACAACAACGUCGCGCCGCUCGAUCUCGGGGCGUUACCGUCCAUGUGAUUAUGAAAGUUCCAUUCUUUCCCAAGCUUUGGUAGCUGAGCAACCGAAAGUGGGAAAAAAAUGGAGCUAAGUGCCUUGACGAUGGGUCGCAAUCUUGUCAUAUAUGCUCAUUGACUGGAUUUGUUCAACCACUGCUGGCUCUCCCUUGCUAAUUGAAAUUCUAGCGCCUAAGCCCUAUAAGGGUUUAUUUGUAGGUCUUAUAAUAAGCUGUUUACUACAAGAAAUUUUCUUAUACAUGACGGUUUACUUUCGUCAUGGACAAAACAAAAUGCAUCACAGUUAACUCAUGAUGACGAUCACGAGAAACGUCAUGUAUCCCGUGUUAUACAUUUGUUGGACCAAAAUGGACCUUCAUGGAUUAGUUUUUUUGUUUGUCAUGGAUGAACUAGUUGGCAACAAUAGCAAAGGGUAAUAAUGAUGAAAUAAACUGUCACAAUUCUGUUACACGUCAUUAGUAGGCUGUUUGUUGCCCAUUAUUCAUGCCCAUGUGUUUGCGGCACAUUCAUGAAACACACAUAAACUAGAAAAAGCUCACAAUUCACAAAAUACUGCUCAUCAUUUUCAUUAAAACCAUUAACAUUUUGUACUUGUAUAAUAUUUCACAAGAAAUACUAAGCUAAUAACCAAGCUAUACUUAAGUACCUACAAAACUAAGAUGUUGCCUUGUACAACAACUCAUAUUGCUCGCACAACAAAAUCUACCAUGUCGGCUACACUCAUUUUUCUUUUUUUUACCAUUUAGACUUUAAGGGACUAAUAAUCUACCAUGUAUGAGACGUGGUCACUAGAUCAAGACAAAAAAAGAGAGAAAAAAAUAAUAAAGUAAUUAAUAACUUUUUUCCUAUUUACAUGGGAAUAUUUUAUUAUGGAAUAAUAAUUUUUUCAUUUUUCUUUUUUUUUACCAUUUAGGCUUUGAGGGACUAAAACCAUCCUCAGUGGGGGUUUCAUGACCCAGUUUUCAACAUAUCCAUAUUUUAAAAAGAGUGUAGAAGAGUCUUAUCCCCAUGAAACUCUUUCUACUCUAAGGCCAGUCUCAAUGGACAGUAUUACUGCACGUUUCACAUACUAACACGUCAUCAAGAUUGAAAUAAAACCAUCUAUGAAAUAACCCCAGCAAUGAAGCAUUUCACUUUGUUGUUUCCAAAGCUAAGCAAAGCAUUUAAUUUCUGCAAAAUGAUUGGAUCACAUGCAAGAUGGUGAAACGAUCUGACCCUAAAGUGGGGAUUUCAUCUCGUUUCACCGCGUGGGAAACAACGUCCGUGGAGUUUCACCAUGGUGAAACUACUUCCUUCUCUCUCCUCUUCGUUUCAUGCAAAAAGUGCAGUUUUGCUGACAUAGCGCUCUAAUAAAUGUGCAUGACAUCCUGGUGAAACCCCACUAAGACUGGCCUAAUGAAACUCUUAUCACCUCUCUCUUUAUUAAUAAGGUGCCACGUUAGCAUAUUUAAUAUCCAUGAAACUCUAAUAAACCCCAUUGAGACAAACCUAAUAAUCUACCAUGUAUGAGAUAUCGUCAUUAGAUCAAGACAAAUAAAAGAGAGAGAAAAAUAAUAAAGUAAUAACAUGAUUUUUUCCCUAUUUACAUGAGAAUAUUUUAUUAUGGCCAUGUCAACAUCCACAUCAGCGCCAUGUUGGCCAAGUCGUCAAAUCAUCCGUCGUAGAUUUAACACUGAGUUGCCAAAAUGAUUUGUGACGCUCAAUAGUGACGGUUACUAAACAAAUCGAUAUCACCUAGUGAAUGAAUAGUCAUAAACAAUAUAGUUCUAUAAUGGUUUUUAGAACGUCAUCAGUAAAUCGUCAGGUAAAGACUUAUUCCUUGUAGUGUGCUUUAUUAUCAAAAAUAAAAUGAAAUUAGAUACCAAAUAGGAAGAGUCUGUUUGGCAUGACUCUACAAGUAACUCAAUCCUCAACUUCCGCAGAGCCGCACUACAAAAAUGGUGCCCCUAUUUGAUAUUUUAUUUAUGUCAUAAUAUAUAAUUUAAGAUUUGUGAGAUCCAUUUGAUAAAAAUCCGAACGUCAAAAAAGCACCAUCAAAAAAUUAUUAUGUGACAUGUAUAUUUCAUGCCACAAGUAUAUAUAUAGUUUUCUUGACAUUAGUAUAUAGUCACAAAAUCUUGUGUCAUGCCAUGCAGUCAUAUGACGUGGAGCUGAGUUCGUAGGUCAAUAAAUGUCAUAGAAUUAAAAUAUGGUCUUUUUUAGAAAAAAAAUGGUUUGUUAAGGCCCACGUGGUUGGCAGACUUAUAGUAGGCCCAAAACAUUGUUUAGCCUGCUAUUUGUUACAUCACGAUCAACUUAUUUUGUACGCUUUCAGCCCAUUUAACUUUCUCAAAUUUUAUUUUCAGCCUGCAUGAAUUUUUUUAGCCUAAUUUUUCUGUCAGCCCGUGCAUUUUUUCCUAGCCCAGCAGUAGAAUAGGCCAGGCAACCAGAUUUGGAACGAGAUCCUCUGAAGUUGCUCCUCUUGACUGUCCUCUGCAGUCAUGCGAUCUGCGUCGUCCAAUGGAUCAGACGGUGACUACACCCCUCAUGCCCUCAAACAACUGUUCGCGGUGGGCCUCAGCCCAAUAAGAACGCCGACAAAUCUCAAGACAGUGUUUUGUUUUCUUGUACGAUAAACCGAUAAUUGCAUGGUCACUAUCUGCAAGAGCAGACUGCAGCUAGUGCUGGAGUUAUUCAUGUGAAUGUUUGCAGCAUCAGCAAAACCGUAAAAGUGAGUGAUCUGUGAAGACAAAUUUGCAAAUUGCAACACAUCCUCCUAGGCCUUGUUUAGUUUCCAAAAUAUUUUGCAAAAUUUUUCAUAUUUCCUAUCACAUUAAAUGUUGCGGCACAUGAAGCACUGAAUAUAGAUAAAAGAAAUAACUAAUUACAUAGUUUACCUAUAAUUUGCGAGACAAAUCUUUUAAACCUAAUUAGUCAAUGGUUAGAUAAUAUUUAUCAAAUACAAACGAAAGUGUUUCUAUUUUGCAAAAAAUUUUAGAUAGCAUAGUAGCAUAAAUAUAUACUAGCAUCCGGUCGAAGGGAAAGACCGAAAAGAAGAAGUUGAUGUCUAUGCGGCGCUGUGGGCUGAUAUAUGGGCCUCUCAAACUGGCCUGCCUGAUGACCCUGGUGGGACUGCAGUUGGAUCAACAUCGGACGGCUAAGACAUGCUGACUGCAGACUACAGUCGCUGCAGCGACUGCAGACGAUCUCGUUCUCCAGAUUUUAGUUUCGUAUAGCCCAUCAAAAUGGCCCAAACAUAACAGAUCAAAGCAGCCCAUGUAACACAUAGAUAUCCACAUAAUAUAUUUAAUUCUACUUAAAAAACAUAAUAUGUUUAAUCAACUAUUUAAAAUACAUCAUUAUCCAUAUCCACUUAAAUUUCAGUAGUGGUCUAAAUACACUAGAUAGGGACAGAUAUUUCAUCUUCUAUUAAAAGUACUUCCGAUAGUGAUAUACAUGCAGCGAUCUUUCAUCUCCAUUCUUCAAUCUUCUAUUCUUUGGAGCACAUGAACCAGGUAUAUUGGCUUUCUAAAUUUCUCUAUAAUGGCUGUCUCCAAUGGUAUACCUAUUUGGAAACCCAAACCUAAAAUGGGUCUCCAACACAAUACCUAUAACCUCCAACAGAGUACCCAUACAGAAGACCCACUUUGGGUAUCAGGAGAGGCAUAACCCAAAUUUGGGUAUCCUCUCUCUUCGAGACCUAUUUAUAGAGAGUGUUGUCUUUUAGGUCUUAUUGUUGGAGAAGACUAAAAAUAGGUAUGGAACAUUUUACCUGUAGCGCUACCCAAAAGACAAAUAGGUCUUGUAUUUUGGGUGAUGAUUGUUGGAGAUAGUCUUAGGACCCAAAAACACGUAAGUACACAAGUCACUCACGGUGUGUCCAAAAGCAUGGUUAAUCAAAAAGCUAACCUGAGGUUGUUGUACAGCUCAUGCAAAUACAUAACUGCAUUUGAAUUAAAAUAAAUGUAAGAAUUGUGGUGGAAGUAAUUUGCAAGAGACCACAAAUUGUUUACUGUUAUAUGUAGUCGGCCAGCAACAAACAUUUGCCAUUAAAAUCAAUAUGCAUGAAGUUCAAACAAACAAGAUAUCUACUUGCUAUCAAAUAGUCUAUUAGCACAAGAUCAUGACAGGAAGCUUAUAAAAUUAGUGUACAUAUCUUUAAGUCCAAAGUUCACUUGUUUCACUUGUAUAGAUAAAAUUGAAGUAUUCAUCUCUGAAAGUUUCAUGUGAUGCUUACCAUCAUUAUUGCCUCCAACAUCCACUUUGGUUCUUCCAAUUAAUGCCUACUUUCAACAAACAUCCACAUGUUGGUGCCUAGUUUCAGGUGCGCUAGCUAAGCGCGGGGAAAAAUGCUAGCUAGGCUGCUUGGUACUGGGCUUGAGGCAUCAACUGGGCCGAAAUGAGCGGAAACAAAUUUUGUGGCCACCAUGUGUGUAUUUGCCAUACAAGCACUUAUACAUAAAUAUUCUGUUUGAAUAUUUGUUAUUACUUAUUGUAUUUAUUUAACUAGUAUAUUACCGUAUCUAAAUAUUAUGGAAAUAUACUAAUGUAUCUCAAUUGUAAUUGUAAGAGCAUCUCCAAGAGCCUUUCUAAACCUCACUCUCUAAAUCAUCAUUUGGAGAGUGUUGACACCGUUUUUGGACACGUAUCUUUGGGCACGCGUCUAGAGUUAAUGAGGUGUAGAUCGGCAGGUGGAGGAGUAGUGACUAGUCUACAGGAGAGUUGCCGAUGAGGGUUGAUGUCGAUGGAAAAGCAGCCGAAUACAACUGAGUCCAAGAGUGGUGAUACGUUCAUACUGAUGGCCAAUGCUGACGGUUGCCGAUGGCUGUGAAAGGCGGUCUGCCGAUGACUCUGAAGAAAAGCGCAGGGGUUGCCGAUUGACUCAGGAUGGGGUACCGAUUGAUCGUAGAGGAUAGUUUAAUGUUUUCCUUAGUUAUUAGAGUUCGUUUUGUAUACGGGUUCCGUUUAAUUUGGAAUUCGAGUCCUAGUCGUGUCUGGUUGUAGCUCUUUGGACAGGGUAUAAAUAUAGACCCUAGGGCAAUGUAAUGAGACAUCUAUCAAUCAAUCAAACACAAGUUUUUACACAUAUUCUAGCAUCUACUUUUUCGACGACUUCGUCAUAUUUUCCUUUUAUUACGAGUUCUUAGGAAUUUGUCGAGUCAAACUCGGCCUGUUCUCAAGUUCCGCGUGAGCACCUCUUGGCCGUGACAUCCGGGCGCAUCACUGUUGUCGGGACCAAAGUGUUCGAGUUACCACCUUCGUCGAUUAUAAGGUCAAAUCGGUUGGCACGCCUUAACGUUUGAAUCGGGUAUUAGCCCUUUGUGUUUGCAGAUCAGCUUUUGCACCAACACAUCUUUUGACACACCUAGUGGGACAGAUUCAAGAUCAAGAUCAACAUGUCGAAUACCGAUUUUGACUUGGAGAACGUCAUCCCCGUGACGGAAGCCAAUCUCAGAGAUGAGCAGAAGAAAGCUAUGGCAAAAGCCAUGGAGGACUACAAGCAGCUAUGCUUAAAAUCCUUCAGUAUCAACAGGAGUGGCGAGGUGAUCUAGAAGGAAGCAUUGUCGAUGCCUCGGUAAAUUACUUUUGAAGCCAAUUCUGGUAAACUUCAAGACAUGGUUGACAGUGCUAUUAACCGUGCCUUGAUCAAUCAAGCUGGUGUGCUGUCCAACACGGUUUUCAAUGCUGUGGCUAGAACUUUCAAAGAAGGACAAGUACCACCAACUUAUAUGGGUCCUGCCUAUCAUCAGCUAGGGUCAUCAUUGGUCACGGCUCCAUCGGCUACUACAGCCAUUGCGGGUACAGAAGCUACUUCUCCUCCAAGCACAUUAGGGAUCACUAAUGCGUAGUCUACACCAAUGACAACGAAUCCAUCAACAUUAGACGGGCAAAUCAAACUUGCCACAGAUCUAUUGGCAUCGACGAUGUCAGGGACUGUUCCUCCCAACUGGUGGGGUUAUGGUAUGCCCCCAGGACUUAUGGCAAAAAGUCCUGGGACAUCUCAAGUGGCUGACGUGACAGGCAAGGCUCCUAUGGCAUCGGCACCUCCAAAUCUGCCGAUGAAUCAGAAUCCCCAGUAUUCCACAACUACUACUGCAAGACCUUACACUGGGAAUUCUCAAGCACCAACCUUCCAGAUGCCUAACGCAUCGGCAGAUCCAAUGCCGACGCAGUAGAGGUUUAUGACACAACCAGGGUAUGUCAAUUCGAUGAUGAUGCCCAAUUACCAGUCAUCGGCAGGUCCUAUGCCGAUGAAUGCUAACAGUGGAUGGACAGGGCAGUUUGUCUUUCCACAGACUCCUCAGCAGAAUCAUCAGGCUGUAGGGUUUCAACAGGGACCAGUCCAACCUGGGUUCCAGAAUCAAGGAUUGAUCAACCAGCCGAUGAAUCUUGGUCAGCAAAUUGGUGGUCAGAUCGUCAAUCUGAUGUUCCAUGGAGAUCGUGCACCACAGAGACACGUGGAAGCAUAUCAGCAGGUGCCAGAUCCACAACCACCUCAUCAGCAAGAUGCCGAUGCAUAUUGGGCCGAUAAGAUAGCUGAAGUAAUGAGAGACCAAUUUGGGAUAAAACCCAAAGUCAACACUUACUCUUAUCGGACACCGUAUCCUCCUGCAUAUGACUUAAUUCCACUUCCAAAUCGGUACAAGGUACCGGAUUUCACUAAGUUUUCUGGACAGGAUGAUACAUCAACUAUGGAGCAUGUCAAGAGGUUCAUCAUCCAGUGUGGAGAAGCUGCUAACAGAGAUGAGUUAAGGGUUCGCUUGUUCUCAUCAUCUUUCUCUGGAUCGGCCUUUACUUGGUUUAUUUCAUUACCCCCUAAUUCAGUAAUCACUUGGGCCGAUCUAGAGAAACAAUUCCACAAAUACUUCUUUUCUGGAGUUCAUGAGAAGAAGAUUACCGAUUUAGUCAGGCUGAAGCAACACAAUGAUGAAUCGGUUGAAAGCUUUGUGCAGAGGUUGCGAGAGGUUAAGAAUAAGUGCUAUAGUCUGGUUCUGGACGACCGGCAGCUAGCCAAUUUGGCUUUCCAUGGAUUGUUGCCACAUAUCAGAGACAAGUAUGCUUCUCAGGAGUUCGAGAGUCUAAGUCAUUUGGUGCAGAGGAUUUCUGACCAAGAUAUCAAACCUUUUGAGCCUAAGAGAGCAUGGAAUAAAAAGGUAUCAUUUGUCGAUGAGGCAGCAAGCUCAGACUCUGAUGAAGAACCAGUUAUCGGCUUGGCAGAGUGGGUAAAAAGUAAGAAGCCGAUGUCUUGCCCUUUUGGGCAUAAAGAGCCAGAGAAAUUUGCAUUUGAUAUCACCAAAGCCGAUAGGAUAUUUGACUUUCUACUUCGGGAAGGGCAAAUCAAGUUGUCGCCCAAUCAUGUGAUUCCAUCGGCUGAGGAAUUAAAGAAGAUGAAAUAUUGCAAGUGGCACAAUGCAACGUCUCACAGCACAAAUGAGUGCAAGGUUUUCAGGCAACGGCUGCAAUCGGCUAUAGAAUCUGGAAGAAUCAAGUUUGAUAAUGCUAAAGCUCAGAAGCCGAUGAAGAUCGAUCAACAUCCUUUCCCAACAAAUAUGUUGGAUGCUAAGGGAAAAACCAUGGUCUUGACGUCAGAGGCAGCUGAAAGAAGUGCAUCGGUGGAUCCUCAACAUCAGAUUACUACCGAUGACGCUAAAGGCAAGGGUCUGGUUCAGGAAGGAACCAGCUCAGGAAGGCCUCCCCGAUUUGGCAUUGCGAUAACUCAUAGAAGGCAUCGGGAGACGUGGCAGCAACGUGAAGAUCAGUAUCGGCGCCAAUAGGAGGAUUAUCGUCGGGAAGAAGAAAGACGCCGGCAGGAGUGGAAUCGACAUAAAGAUCAUUGAAAUUGCCUGUUCUUUAUCCACUGUUGGGAACAGAACAUCAAAUUGUCCACUGUUAGAGACUGCCUGAGUGCAAUGGUUAUGAUCGGUAUGAUAGACCUAAUCGGCAGUAUCAAAACAAUGAUCUGUGAUUUAAUGGGUCGAUUAGGGGGAGAGCUUCGGUUCAUGAUCGGUUGGGGGGCAGGCUCAGUGUGCAUGACAGAUUUGGUGACCGUGUUGGGUACUUUCCCAGGAACCAAGAGGAACUUGAAGAAAUAGCGGAUGCACGAGUCCCCGAUGAGUUCAUAUUUUGCAGGGAUGCUAAUACUUAUCGAAUGGAGUCAAGAGAAAAUCGUCGUCCAUCGGUAAGGCAGCCGCAACUUCCUCCAUGGUGUCCAGAAGGGUUGACUAGAACGCAGAAGAGAAUGUUGCAGCGUGAAAGAUGAGAAGAUUUGAGCAAAGGAGAGAAUUCUGGCAAAUCUGGAGAUCAGCAGCAGCCGGAUCCUAAAGGAAAUGGGCCAUCGGCAGAUGUUAACAUGGUAUUUGUAUUGCCGAUGGAGUUCCUUGCACCGUCCAGUGAUGAUGAGGAAUUGGAUUUUUUCGACCAAAUAGCUCAGUUGGCUCUGGAUCCGAUGACGGCUGAAAAGCCUGCCGACAAUGAAAGGCAGCAUCUUAAAGCUCUGUUCGUCAAAGGAAGGGUUGAUGGGCAGCCGAUGACCAAGAUAUUAGUUGAUGGUGGGGCUGCUAUCAAUAUUAUACCAUAUGCAGUCUAUCGGAAGCUUAGUAAAGGAGAUCAAGAUUUGACCAAGACCGAUAUGAUGCUAAAAGACUUCGAGGGGAAUGUGUCUCCGGUUAAGGGGGCAAUAUGCACCGAGUUGACCAUUGGCAGCAAAACCUUGCCGACAACUUUCUUCGUGAUCAGUGGAAAGGGUGCUUACAAUCUAUUGUUGGGGAGAGAUUGGAUCCAUGCCAAUUGUUGCAUCCCGUCUACAAUGCACCAAUGUUUGGUUCAGUGGGUAGAUAACAAGACUGAGAUUGUCCCGGGAGAUUCUUCAUACGUCAUUGCAUCGGCAGAGGCAGAUACUUAUGAAAGGACCAGGUGCAUCUCAGGAGAAAUUUGGGAAAAAUAUUUCCUCAAGGUUGCCAAUUAUGAAAUUCCACCGAUCCAAGCAGUCGGUUCUGAUGAGGAGUUUUAAUGGAUAGGUUCGCUGAUGAUGGAAAAUUAGGCCAGGGGUUUACAUCGGCCGAUGAUUUAGUAGAAGUAGAUAUAGGUAAUGGUGAUAAGCCAAGACCUACUUUUAUUAGUGCUAAGUUAAAUUCUGAGUGUAAGCGACAGUUAACUGAUUUGUUAAAGGAAUAUAAAGAUUGCUUUGCUUGGGAUUACACUGAGAUGCCUGGUUUGGACCGAUCCAUUGUUGAACAUCGGUUGCCUAUCAAAUCUAGAUUUCGGCCACAUCAGCAGCCGGCUCGCUGAUGUAAUCCUAAUAUUCUUCCUGAUAUUAAGGCCGAAAUAACUAAACUUAUUGAAGCUAAAUUUAUUCGGCAGUGUCGGUAUGCCGAGUGGAUUUCCGAUGUUGUACCAGUUUACAAGAAAAAUGGGAAGCUUCGAGUCUGCAUUGAUUUCAGAAAUCUUAACAAGGCUACGCCGAUGGAUGGCUACCCAAUGCCGGUUGCCGAUUUACUAGUGAUGCUGCGGCUGGACAUCGGAUUAUCAGAUUUAUGGAUGGUAAUGCAGGAUAUAAUCAGAUAUUCAUGGCUGAAGAAGAUAUUCCAAAGACCGCAUUUAGAUGUGCUGGUCAUGUUGGGUUGUUUGAGUGGAUAGUCAUGACCUUUGGCUUGAAAAAUGCUGGUGCUACCUAUCAAAGGGCUAUGAAUUUUAUCUUUCAUGAGUUCAUCGGCAAGCUGGUAGAAAUUUACAUUGAUGAUGUGGUGGUUAAGUCUGGGGAUUUCACAAAGCAUCUUACCGAUUUGCGAAAGGUGUUGGAAUGCACAAGGAAACAUGGUUUAAAAAUGAAUCCUAACAAGUGUGCAUUUGGUGUAUCGGUGGGGCAAUUUCUUGGUUUCAUGGUGCACUAGAGAGGAAUUGAAAUUAGUAGAAGAUCUAUUGAUGCCAUCAAUAAGAUAGUUGCUCCUACUAACAAAAUUGAACUUAUGUCUUUGAUCGGCAAGGUAAAUUUUAUCAGACGGUUUAAUAUCUAAUCUGUCUAGUAAAAUUCGUACUUUUAGUCCUUUACUCAAAUUGAAAGCCGAUCAAGAGUUUAUAUGGGGAGAAGAGCAACAGUUGGCCUUAGAUGAAAUCAAGAAUUAUUUGACAAAUCCUCCAGUUUUAAUUCCACCUUAGCAAGGAAAGCCCUUCAGAUUAUAUUUGUCUACCGAUGGGCUGGUCAUCGGUUCGGCUUUAAUUCAAGAAUUUGAAGGAAAGGAGCGUGUGAUUUAUUAUUUAAGUAGAAGACUGAUUGAUGCUGAGACCAAGUAUUCAGCAAUAGAAAAAUUAUGUUUAUGCCUAUAUUUUUCAUGUAUUAAGUUGAGACACUAUUUGCUAUCGGCCGAAUGCACUGUUAUAUGCAAGGAUGAUGUGGUCCGAUACAUGUUGUCUAUGCCUAUUAUGAGUGGUAGAAUCGGCAAAUAGAUUUGGCACUGUCGGAGUUUGAUCUACGUUAUAAAUCGGCUAAGGCAGUAAAAGGGCAGGUUAUGGCCGAUUUGGUGACUCAACAUUGCGGUGUGGUGGAGACUUUCGAGAUUGUUUCUUGGACACUCUUCUUUGAUGGAUCUACCUGUGACCGAGGGGCAGGAAUCGGCAUAGUACUAAUUUCCCCUCAGGGAAGGAAGUAUGAGUUCUCUUUGCCGAUUGUUGCCAUGUCAACGAAUAAUCAAGCUGAGUAUCAAGCUUUGAUUAAGGGGUUGGAAUUAUUAAAGGAGGUUCAUGCUGAUGCUGUUGAAAUCUUCGAGAAUUCUAUGCUGGUCAUAAAUCAGUUGGCUCGAAGUUAUGAAUGCCGAAGUGAAGUCCUGAUAACUUAUUAUGAAAAAAGUAUGCAACUAUUGAAGGAAUUGAAAGAUUUCCGAUUAGAGCAUGUUCCUCGGUUACAUAAUGAGGAGGCUAAUCGGUUGGCCCAGCAUGCCUCGGGAUAUCAACCCAUAUUAAACAUGUUAUCGGCAAUCGAUGCCGAUGAUUGGAGAAAGGAGAUCAUUGAUUAUUUAAAGAAUCCAUCUAAAAAGGUUGAGAGACGUAUCAGGUUUCAAGCUACCAAGUAUGUGCUCCUCGAGGAUGAACUAUAUUAUCGGACUAUAGAUGGAUUUCUUCUCAAAUGCUUAGGUAAUGAUGAAGUUAAAAGUUUGAUGGGUGAAAUCCAUGAAGAAGUGUGUGGUGCACAUCAGUCGGCUUUUAAGACGAAGUGGAUGAUCAGGAGAAAUGGGUAUUAUUGGCCGACUAUACUCGAGGAUUGCUUUAAAUAUUUCAAAGGGUGUCAAGGAUUUCAGAAAUUUGGCAAUAUUCAAAGGGCACCCGCAUCGGCCAUGAAUCCCAUUAUUAAACCUUGGCCGUUCCGGGGAUGGGCUGUUGAUCUAAUCGGCCAGAUUUACCCACCAUCGAGCAAAGGACAUAAGUUUAUCUUAUUUGCCACUGAUUAUUUCACUAAGUGGGUUGAAGCUAUUACUUUGAAGAAAGUUACAUCGGCCAAUAUGAUUGAUUUUGUAAGAGAGCAUAUUAUUUACCGAUUUGGUAUUCCUCAAACAAUUACUACCGAUCAGGGUACCAUGUUUACAUCAGGGGUGUUUGAUGAAUUUGCAAUCGGUAUGGGGAUUAAAGUGUUGAAUUCUUCUCCUUAUUAUGCUCAAGCCAACGGACAGGUCGAGGCGUCCAACAAGGGAAUCAUUAAACUCAUCAAACGAAAGAUUGAAGAAAAUCCUAGAAGAUGGUAUACAUUAUUAAGUGAGGCUUUAUGGUCAUAUCGGAUGGCAUGUCAUGGGUCGACUAAAGUUUCACCUUAUCAGUUGGUGUAUGGACACGAUGCAGUGCUACCAUGGGAAAUUAAGACCGGAUCUAGGCGACUAUCUUUUCAAGAUCAGCUGGCUGCCGAUGACUAUGCUACUUUGAUGAAAGACGAGUUAGAUGAUUUAGCAGGACAUCGGCUGAGGGCUUUGAUAAGUAUAGAAGAAAACAAAAAGAGAGUUACUAGGUGGUAUGAUAAAAAGGUAAAAGCUAAGGAGUUUGCUGAUGGAGAUUUGGUGUGGAAACUAAUUUUACCGAUUGGGACUAAAAGUUCAAAGUUUGGGAAGUGGUCUCCUAAUUGGGAAGGUCCUUAUCGGAUAAAUCGGUCUGCUCCUGGUAAUGCUUAUAUUUUGGAAACUCUCGAAGGAGUUGGAUUUCCUAGAGCAUUGAAUGGAAAAUACUUAAAGAAAUAUUACCCUAGCAUAUGGGUCGAUGCAUAAAAGCUUAAGUGCCGAUAACAUUCCCAUCGGCUGGAUUAAAGUGUAUCUGGGACUGAAUACGAUGUUUCAAAAGGAUGCCGAUAACAGUCCUAUCGGCUAGACCAAAAUAAUCAGAGGUUUUUAAAAGAAAGAGCAAAACACGCCGUCGAUGAAGAGUUCAUACAUUCAGCAGAGUUUGGAUGGCCGAUAUGGCGCGCAGACGGAUUUGAUCGACUUCUUCUAUCUCCUUGAUGUCUUCAUCGGCAGAGCCCUCCACUGGUUUCAGCUUCUUCUUCAUCUGCAGUGCCUUGUGGGCUUGGAUGUUUCACUCUUGUUUGAGGGUCUUGAUCGUUUCGGGCAGCUGACUUUCUUCCUGUUGAGCUUGGGACAGAGCCUCUUCUACUUGCUUAAGCUCUGCCAACAGGGCUUCCCUUUUUGGCGAUAGGUCGGAGAUCUUUUGUCCACCGUAUCUCCUGAGGAUUUUAGAAUGCCGAUGCUCUUGUGUUUCUCAUCAGCAAGGUGCUUCACUUUCAUUACCUCCUCCGAGAGCUAGGCAUGAGUGGCUCUAUCGGCAAGACGUUGGGCAGCCUUUUGAUACUGAAGCUGGCGGCUCUCUAAGUGUGCAGCCUCUCUUUGGCAUAGGCAGGGAUCUGACCUCUGAGAGCUUUGAAUAGUGCUUUUGCUGGAUCAGAGUCGUCGACUAAUUGAGCUGUAUCCUGAUGAAGCAGGGCUAGCAGAUCCUCCAGUUUAGCUCUGAUUUCUGCCGAUGAAAUCCCUACUGCUCGAGAAGAGCUUGCUUCCUCACCUUCAUCAUCAGAAAUUUUAAUAGCAAAAGAGAACAAGCUGUCCGGAGAGUCUUGUUCCUAGAAAAGAAAAUAAAAUAAGUUAUUUGAUGAUCAAGUACUAAUGAUGAUAAAUAUAGAGAUCAGGUGACUUACUUGUUUCAGGGCAAUUUCUCGCCUCUGGCUAGCUGAGGCCGAUGGUACCACAGGUUGAUCGGCUGGAGUUGUCGAUGGAAUGAUGUCAACUGAAAAUGAUAUAAUAAUAAUGAGUGUUACAAGUUAAAAAAAAUCCAUCGGCAAAUAAUCUUAUGGACAGAACCUUACCUUGAGGGGGUGCAGUGCUUGUCUGGAUUGAAGAGACUACCGAUGAUAUGAUUGAUCCCACUGGAUCGGCAGUCUGCUCGAGUACAUCGGCUGAUAUCUCUUCUGGCCGAGGUACUUCUUGUGGUUGAGGUGGAGAUGGCGCUUGUCGUGUCUGAACUUCUGGCGAAGAAGGAGACGAUUCCACAUGAAUCGGCGAUCUUGGAGGAGGAGGAGGCGAUGCUGUCCUCUGGCAUUUUGCUUGUGACUUGGUACUCUUGGGGCCUUUUCUCUUGACUUGGCCAGACUGGGGGCAUCGACACUUGUCCUAGUCCUUGCCGAUUUACCAGUUUGCUGAUAUAGUAACAAAAGUUUCAUAAGCACAAGUAUGACAGAGUGUUGAUAGAAUUUUGAUUGAGACAGUAAAGGUUACCGAUGAGGUUCCCAUAGCAGCCGAUGUAUCCUGAAAAGGUUGUGUAAGUAUAGAAUGGAAUCGGUAUAAAUUGAAGAAGUCAAGAAUUUACCUUGAAAGCUUGUGCCAAGGCAGCAGCAGCAACCGAUGGAGAUGUCUUGGCUCGUUUGGAGGCGAUUUUCUUGAAGCGCAUGUUCCGAUGCAUUAAAGCCGCCAAGCUUGGUGCAUUGUUGCCGAUCAGAGAGAUCAGACCUGAUGGAAGGAGCUCGAUCGGCUUGCCACUCCUGCUGACUGUCGGUGGUGUGUCGUCGACCUGUGUAAAAACAAAGGAAGUAAGUUUCCGAUAAGAGUGAAAGUAAAAGAAAAAUUGAGGCAUCGGUUGUAGACUUACAGUGUUCUCAGGGACUUUGUACUUCUGGUCGAUCAUACUGUUGACGGUCCUUAAGUACUAAAAUUAAUAAUCAAAUAAACAUGAAAAAGGAUCAAUAUGAAACAAACAUCUAGAAUUAGGGUUUUAUCUGACAGAAUUCCACGAGUUUUGGUGUUUAUCUAUUUCUGCAGGGGUUUAUCAGAAAAUAUGGAGAGAAGGCCCACAUGUCAUGUUUACAACGAGAUAAUUACGUGCCGCGCAAUUUUCCUUGAUCUAGAAGGGUCCAGAAGCCACGGGAACGAACGGGAAGCAAUUCAGGCUCGGGGGCUGGGCGCCCGCCCACCCCCCUUGGGCGCCCGCCCUGGCCAGAAAGCCAAUCAGGACUCUGCUUCGGGACUACGCUCCACCGACCUAAAGGAUCAAUCUAAACCAUACAAUCUAUGUCGGUUUGAUCCAAUGGCUCACGUUCACUUGAGGGGACUAUAAAACCAGACCCCCUGGCCCCUGGAGGAGAGGAGGAGAAAUCAUUAUUCAGAGGUAGCCAUCAAAGUUAGGGUUUAGAGCUUCUCUCCCACAGAGAAUUAGAAUUAGCUACUCCCUAAUCCUUCAAGUUUAGAGGUUUGAUUAGAUAGCAAUUAGAGAAGUAGAGCACUACGCUCUGGAUUCGGAUCUUCGGUAAUAAAGAUUGGUAUUAUUCAUAUCUUUCUCUAAUUCUAUUAUUCUAAUUGCAUUAUGUCUCUAAUUAUUAUGUUCUUAGUUUGCUCUAGUACUAUAUUUGAUAUAGUUCUAAUUGAUAAUGAGUUUAUGUAUAAGUUUGCAAAGCGCUUAGCUCUUGUCGCGAGGGAGUUAGGUGAUAGAUCACAUGUGAGCGUGGUGCUUAGAUGUUAUUUAUCUGCAAAUGUAUCCUAUUGGCCGAGUCGUGUGGUAGUUCGCGAUAGUGACAGCUUCGUUGAUUCUUAUAUAGUCCACCCUCCGUUGAUAGGACAGGCAGAACCGGUAUUGUGGAGUAAGUCAUGCGAUGUUCUGAUUUACUUUAUCAAUGUUCCUUAUACAUGAAUGAAUAGUCUUUUAUGCUAUAUAUGAUCUUGUAGAUAACUAGAGUAGAUUAUGACUUAGUAGUUAGUAGAUGACUUAGAAUCCAUUCUCUAGCUAAUCCGACAUCACCUACAUAUAUGAGGAGUAGUCUAUUUUCUAAUCGCUGUGCUCUUUAUCCCAUGAACUUAUACUUUAUUAUCAAUUAUCUUUAUGGUUUACCCCCUGCUAGAGUAAGUGACUGUGUGACGAGUUUCUCAUUAGUAAUCAUGUUCUUGCAAGUUUAUCUUUAGUCUAUGCCUUGAUAGAUUUUGCCCCUUUGAUUUAAUUCUAUCUUCUUAAGAUCCCCUAAGCAAAAUUAUAAAUAACGAUACCUGGAAUACUUAUCCUGGUGAAAUGCUACAAUGAGGUGUUUUAUCUGUGCGCUUGCGGAUAGAAUAGAUUAUUUUCUAGAGAGCCUUUACAUUUAUAAAUACCUUUGUACACUCUGGCGCCAUGCUAGGGAUGACAACCUAGUAUCUAAGUGGUGUUAGCUAGUUUCAACAAGCAUUUCUGGCGCCGUUGCCGGGGAUUUAUAGGAAUUAUAGGAGUCUCAGGAAUAAGUCAUAAAAGGGAACAAAAGGGUAAUAUUAAGGAAAGCCAGAAAAUCAAUCAGGAUUAUUCAUAUAAAAUAUUAGACUAGACUAUAGAGAAAUAAUUGCAUAAAACAGCUACAAAGUGAGAAAUCAUAACAAGGCACCGCUGCUUUGGCAGGUUCACCCUGUUGUUUUUCUAUGUUUAUAUUUUUAUACAGGGUAUAACAGGAUUGACUUUGGGUACAUUCAACUCUACAUCAUCAGAACCAAAGCAAUCAAGAGAAGAAGAAGCUAGCUACCAAUUGCCAAAGCUAUGGCACACAUGACCUUGCAAGAAUUCUCUGCUCCAAGUCUUGACAACAUUCCAACCGGUCCAAAAUUUGCAGUAGAAGAAGGAAUACCCGAGUUUGAGCUCAAGUCAAGCCUCAUCAAUUUGGUACAAGCUACACAAUUCAGUGGAAAGGCACAUGAAGAUGCCAGUGCACACUUGCAGAAUUUCCUAGAGAUUGGAAGCACAAUCCACAUCAACGGAGUUGACAAAGACGUCAUACUGCUUCGCCUUUUUCCAUUCUCACUAGAAGGAAAAGCGAGGAAGUGGUUCUACACUCAUCAAGAUAACAUCAACAACUGGACGAACUUGUCAGAUGCCUUUCUAUCAAAGUUUUUCCCUAUAGGCAAAACAACUGCCUUAAGAGGAAGUAUUGUCAGUUUCCAACAGCAGAAGACAGAAGCCAUUUCAGAAGCAUGGGAGCGUUUUCAAGGAUACAUAUCAGAUUGUCCUCACCAUGGAAUGGCCACAUGGUUACUUAUGCAGACCUUCUACCAUGGAUUAACCCAGAAGGCUCGUGAGUGCAUAGAUGCAUCUGCUAAAGGAUCAUUCUUGGAGCUUACAACUGGAAAAGCAGAGAUACUUUUGGAUAAGAUAGCAGAAAACCAAAGCUGGUUCCAAGAUAAAGCUCAACAUUGUCAUCAAACUGAAGAAAUACCAGAAGAAGUAAAAGCAUUAUCAGCUAAGAUGGAAAAUUUGUUCCAUUGGAUUGACCAGAGGGCCAAGUUCAAAGAAGAUCAAAGGGCCAUUGAGACAGCAUACAAAUAUCAACCAACUUCGAGUCAACCCAAUAGCAAAGGUAUGAAUUCAGGUAAUACUAUCAAGCAACUUUCAUUAAAAGAGAUAAUUGCUCAACAAACCAAAAUUAAUGAUGAAGUUAAACAAAGGCUAGAUACAAAUGAAUCAUCUCUAAAAGAUAUACACAAUAAAAUGGAUUUUCUACUAACUGCCUUUGAUGAGCAAAACACUCUUAAUAAAAGGGUAGAGCUUAAAUUAAUAAAGAUAGCUGCUGCACUGCCUGUUGCUACUAACCUUGAGCAGGUAAAGAAUAUAACUACUAGAGGAGGUAAAGCUACCAGAGAUCCACCAUACCCAAAAGAGAAACAAAGAUCAUCAGCACCAGUGCAACCAGCAGUGAUAGGAGAAGAAAGCCCAGUUGAAGCAGAAGAUCUGCUACAACCAUCAAGAACUAGAGAAAUGAGGAAAGAUUUUUACGACACCAACUAUUUGCCAUUUCCCAGAAGAAACAAAGGACUGCAGUCGGAUGAGCAGUUUGGUAAGUUUGUAGAGGUCAUUCAGAAAUUAUAUGUCAACAUACCUCUGCUCGAUGCCAUACAGGUACCUACAUACGCAAAGUACAUCAGAGAUAUUCUUAACAAGAAGAGACCACUGCCCACCACUGAGGUUAUCAAGCUGACAGAAGAAUGUAGUGUGGCCAUCCUCAACAAACCACCAAAGAAGAAGGAAGAUCCAGGAUGCCCCACUAUUGAUUGCUCGAUCGGAAACCAACACUUCAAUAAUGCACUUUGUGAUCUCGGAGCAAGUGUCAGUGUGAUGCCAGCAUCAGUCUACAAAAAGCUUGAGCAUGCAACUUUAGAACCAACAUCAAUGUGUCUACAACUAGCGGAUCAAUCGGUUCGACACCCGUUGGGCAUCGCCGUGAACAUUCCAGUCAAGAUCAGAGAUUUCCUGGUACCAGUAGACUUCGUAGUACUGGACAUGAGUCCUGACUCAAAAGUGUCCAUCAUCCUUGGAAGACCAUUUCUGAGCACUGCCAAUGCCCACAUUGAUGUCAGGAAGGGAGAAAUCAAGUUCAACAUAAACGGUCAAGAAGAACACUUCACAUUCAAACCUAGACCAGAGAGAGACUCUACAGUGAAGGAAGUUCAUGAAGAACCACUGGAGACACCAUCUACUGAGGAAGGUAACUCAGAAGAUUAAAAGAUUUGGAGGUCCAGCUUGGGGGACCUAAAAAUCCCAAACCCUCACCGGGAGGUAAAUCGGUAUUUACCCGUAUUAUUAAUUUUCUCAUAUUUAAAUUCUUGCAUAAUUAAUUCUUGCAUUAGUCAUAUACAUUCAUAGCAUAAUUAUAAUAAUCAAAAAGCCCCAUAUAAAUAAUAUUCGUGGUGUGUAACAACCCAUAUUUAUUAAUUAUUGUGGAGGCACAAAAAUAUUUCCCAUUAUCAUUUUUAAUUAAAAUUUUCAUAGAUUUUUCCUGCAUUAUAUUUAAUCAUAUUAAUCUUCUAGAAGCAUGACCCACACUCUUUGGGUCCCACAUGUCAUACACUUUACCUCACAUACAUCCCAUCACAUAAUUUCAUCCACCAAUAUAUUUCCACUCACCUGACAUCUUUCCACCGUCCAACCACUACCAACACAAUAUUAUUCUGCGUGAGAUCAAAGCAAGGAAGCAAGUGGAGGAAGCACACCCAGGAUGGACACCAGGGGUGGGCGCCCGCCCUGUCCCCUGCUCAGCCUAUAAAAGGCCACCUCCAGCUCCCCUUCUCUUCACACAAACACUCCAGAAAACCACACAAAUCUCAGUUUCCCGAGAAGGAGCUUUUGUAGUGAAGAGAAGAGAGUAGAGAGAAAGAGGAGAGUGGAAGGGAAGGUUGGAGUUCUUUUGAGAAAGUGAUUGUCACCUAGCAAAUAGUGAUCCCGCUGUCCAAGCGGGAGUAAAAGUUGUUUAGAGGGAGGCUCUACCAAAAUAGAAACUUGUCUUGAACGAUUAACCCCUGGACUACUAACACUCCGGACAGCUGACCACUAACAUUUUAUCUCACAUUUUCCACCAGUUGUGUUUUUGCCAACUUUUGUUUGCAGGAUGUUUAAGAAGGUAAAGAAUGCAGGGAAGGCUAUCAAGAACAUUGGUACAAGGAGUUCAUCCCGACACUCCUCACAACCAUCAGAGAUGAGCGUCGACCCGACACCCACACAAGCUCCAUCAUCUUCAUCAGGUCAGCAAGUUAAGGUCCUUCUCAAGAUAGGAGACCUAGGACUGAAGACCCGAAGAGAAAAGGAAGUAUAUCAGCAAUUGAAGAACAAGGAUUUCAUUCACACCCCUACUAUCGAUCCAAUCCGACUACGAGAAACAGGUAUGGACACUGAAUUUGACUUAAUUUUUCAAAUGAUGGGUUGGAAAAAAUUUUGGAAUAUAACUGAGCUGGGUUCUCGUCUUCUCACCCUCGAAUUUCUUUGCACUUUACAAUACUAUGAGGGGGGAAUUGUUUUUCGGAUGUUCAAACAAGAAAUUAUGUUGUCUUGGAGAGAGCUAAGCGACCAUCUUGGUUUCUCUUCAAGAUGCAUCCUAAACAUUGACUCCGAUUUACCCAAUUUUGAGAGACACCAGUUUUGGAGAGAAAUAUCUAGAGAUAAUUUGUAUAGUCAAGCCCGAACCAGUGACAUGGAACACCCCACUCUUAGGAUGUUUCACAAAUGGCUUGGGUACAAUCUUUUCUAUCGUGACGAUAUUAGGAAAGUAAGAGUAGGAGAUUUACAACUUUUAUAUGAUGCUAUUAGUAAAGUACCUACUUCACCUGUUACAUUAUUAGUUUCACAUUGGCUUAGUAUACCUAGUCUUCAGGGACAAGUAGGAUGUACUUCACUUAUCACUCGUCUAGCCACUAAUCUUCAGUUACUAGAAAACUCAUCGUUGGACUUCAUAGAAGAAUUAAUAAUUUAUCAUGGCUAUGACACAUUUAGACAAGCUCGGAUGUUAAAGAAAGAGGGGAAUAUAAUGUAUAUGCUGUAUGAUGAUAAAGGCAAGAUUCGGUUACCUAACCCGAACCUUGGCCUCUACACUGUGCAAAACUUUUUGAUUGAGAUUACAGCAACACCAGUGAACCAGAGAACUCCACAGCGAGUGGCAUCUGAAAGGAUAACCACUCACAGAGAACGCACUUGGUAUGGAGCUGACCCUGGACCAGAAGAAGCAGCGCACCUGCAUUAUUGCGAUUAUAAUCCACGAGUCCUUCGAGACCCAUGGGCUCGUCAUGCGCAACCACAAGAGCCAACAGAGGAGACAUGGCCGGAGAGCCAAGAUCACCAGUGGACAAACCCGCCUUUUCAUACGGGCAGGUACUCCAGUGAUCCAUAUGGAGCUUCAGGAUCCAGACCUCCACCCCAAUUUGAUGCAGGACGAUACUCCGACGCCUCCUACGCCUUCACGAAUGACUACUAUCAAGAGGCCGGUGCUUUCUUCACUCGUACCGACAACACCCUCCUCGACAUCCAGAAUACGCAAGCAGAACAUGGAAGACUCCUGGAAGAGCAACAAAAAUGGAACCAGGACCAUGCCGCUGCAGUAGAAGAGCUAAGACAAGAUACAACAACAAUGAACGAUAACAUCACAACCAUGAUGCGGUUCUGGAACAUCGGGUAAGACCGACGUCAACAUCCAGCUUGGGGGAGUUCCUCCUAAAUUUAUCAAGUAAGUUUUUAUUUGCUGUUCUUAUUUAUUCUAUUCUGUCUUAGUAUUUAAUUUAUCUUAAAAGAAAAAAAACUUAGAAAACCAAAUAAAUAUUUUCUUAAUUUAUUGCAUUCUAUAAACAUGAAAACAAAAUAAAAAGAGUGUGUAGAUAAGUGUGCUUUAUUUUUCUGCUAAUUUAAUCUCUAAAAAAAUAAAAAGACCAAAAAUAUGCAUGAUGGAAAUGAUGAACAGUUGCUCUGUUUGCUUACUUACAAGUACCUAGCUUUUAUAUUAGAAUUCUUCCAGGAAUUACUAAAACUAAAAUUACUAUCUUUGGAAUGCAUAAAACUAAAGUCUAGGUAAGAGAAAGACAUGAUAUAAAGUUGAGCUACUGUUUAUCUUGUUCCUACUACACUAAGUUCUGGAGAUUUAUUUUGAAAACUUACGAAGCACAUGAUGAGUUCCUAGCAUAACAAACUACCUACCACAGCCAUACUUGCUAUAACAUCUUUUACUAUAUUUACAUUGAGUUUGAUCGAGCUGUGUUGACCCUUAGGAGCUUUUCAUGUGGUUAAAUUAAGAUAUUCACUUGCACGCAUCUACCACAGCAUUCAUCAUCAAUCAUUAAAAUUGCUAAAAAUAUUAUCACUCACUGUCCCGAAUAUUGUUAUACUCUCUCUCUAAAAAGAUUCAAUGUAGAAGAGGCAUGGGUUAUGCAAAAAUAUAUACGAGGAAAUAAAAAGGGGCAAGUGCCCGGGAACCUCGAAAAAGAAAGAAAAAGAGUGAGACGAGAGUAAAAAAUGGACAAGUGUCCGAAGUAGAAUUAGGGGUACAAAGAUGCCCACUUGAGCGGAAAAAAUGGACAAGUGUCCGACAGUAGAAUUAGGGGUAUCUAUUACCCACCUGAAAAAAAAUAGCCCAUGUUCUCCCAAAGCAAAGAUCAAAGAGGAGGAGAGAUAGCAAUAUGAGGAGCAAUGAGAACUAAGUUUUAUUAUCACUUAUGCAUUUUCACCAUCACUAUCAUUUACUCCAUCACACAUGCACAUCUUGAUUUAAUUAUAUGCUGAGUUCCUUUGGAUCCAUGGCUCGAUUAGACAACAUAUGUAUGAGCUGUUUUUCACUCCUAUGAGCUCCACUUAAAUAUUUCAUUAGCUAUAGGUAAGUGACAUUAUGGUAAGGAUCCACAAAUACCACAUAUAGAGAGACUUGAGAGAAUAAUUGCUAGGAACUCUGAGUUUUAUUUUGAAAACUUAUGAAAAACUCUAGAACAAAGGUGAAGUAUAGACAGGAGGGAUAGUGCUUGACUUAACUAUUUUGUCUUUCGAUUACUUAAGACUUAAGUGCAGGUACUAAACUUCAUAACACUUCACUCUAAUCUGGAAGAAGUUUUAUGUAAAAGCAUGUGUGCCUGUCAGGAAAGAAAACAUCGAAGCAACUUCUGAUCCCUCUAAGUUUAGCUAUUUGCUCAGGGACGAGCAAAGGGUAAGCUUGGGGGAGUUUGUUGACGGUCCUUAAGUACUAAAAUUAAUAAUCAAAUAAACAUGAAAAAGGAUCAAUAUGAAACAAACAUCUAGAAUUAGGGUUUUAUCUGACAGAAUUCCACGAGUUUUGGUGUUUAUCUAUUUCUGCAGGGGUUUAUCAGAAAAUAUGGAGAGAAGGCCCACAUGUCAUGUUUACAACGAGAUAAUUACAUGUCGCGCAAUUUUCCUUGAUCUAGAAGGGUCCAGAAGCCACAGGAACGAACGGGAAGCAAUUCGGGCUCGGGGGCUGGGCGCCCGCCCACCCCCCUUGGGCGCCCGCCCUGGCCAGGAAGCCAAUCAGGACUCUGCUUCGGGACUACGCUCCACCGACCUAAAGGAUCAAUCUAAACCAUACAAUCUAUGUCGGUUUGAUCCAAUGGCUCACGUUCACUUGAGGGGACUAUAAAACCAGACCCCCUGGCCCCCGGAGGAGAGGAGGAGAAAUCAUUAUUCAGAGGUAGCCAUCAAAGUUAGGGUUUAGAGCUUCUCUCCCACAGAGAAUUAGAAUUAGCUACUCCCUAAUCCUUCAAGUUUAGAGGUUUGAUUAGAUAGCAAUUAGAGAAGUAGAGCACUACGCUCUGGAUUCGGAUCUUCGGUAAUAAAGAUUGGUAUUAUUCAUAUCUUUCUCUAAUUCUAUUAUUCUAAUUGCAUUAUGUCUCUAAUUAUUAUGUUCUUAGUUUGCUCUAGUUCUAUAUUUGAUAUAGUUCUAAUUGAUAAUGAGUUUAUGUAUAAGUUUGCAAAGCGCUUAGCUCUUGUCGCGAGGGAGUUAGGUGAUAGAUCACAUGUGAGCGUGGUGCUUAGAUGUUAUUUAUCUGCAAAUGUAUCCUAUUGGCCGAGUCGUGUGGUAGUUCGCGAUAGUGACAGCUUCGUUGAUUCAUAUAUAGUCCACCCUCCGUUGAUAGGACAGGCAGAACCGGUAUUGUGGAGUAAGUCAUGCGAUGUUCUGAUUUACUUUAUCAAUGUUCCUUAUACAUGAAUGAAGAGUCUUUUAUGCUAUAUAUGAUCUUGUAGAUAACUAGAGUAGAUUAUGACUUAGUAGUUAGUAGAUGACUUAGAAUCCAUUCUCUAGCUAAUCCGACAUCACCUACAUAUAUGAGGAGUAGUCUAUUUUUUAAUCGCUGUGCUCUUUAUCCCAUGAACUUAUACUUUAUUAUCAAUUAUCUUUAUGGUUUACCCCCUGCUAGAGUAAGUGACUGUGUGACGAGUUUCUCAUUAGUAAUCAUGUUCUUGCAAGUUUAUCUUUAGUCUAUGCCUUGAUAGAUUUUGCCCCUUUGAUUUAAUUCCAUCUUCUUAAGAUACCCUAAGCAAAAUUAUAAAUAACGGUACCUGGAAUACUUAUCCUGGUGAAAUGCUACAAUGAGGUGUUUUAUCUGUGCGCUUGCGGAUAGAAUAGAUUAUUUUCUAGAGAGCCUUUACAUUUAUAAAUACCUUUGUACACUCUGGCGCCAUGCUAGGGAUGACAACCGAGUAUCUAAGUGGUGUUAGCUAGUGUCAACACAUACCACGGUAUAUAAGGGCUGAUUUGCAGAACAGGUGCUCUUUCCACUCCGCCCACCACUGUUUGUAUGCCUGCGUAAUGAAGAGAGCUGGGAUCCAAGCCGAUAGAUCAAUGUCUGACGUAUUGGCAUUUGGUGGUAGUUGAGCUACUCUGAUCCACUCAAGACCACUGGUUAUGGUCUCCCUUGGCUUCACCACAUCGGCAUAGCAGAGUGCAAUUGGUAGCUGUCCAAAGGCUAGUUGACGAGCCCGUGCCGAUGGGUUGUAGAACUCAUAAGUGAGGUUGGAAGUUUUCCCACUGCUGAAGUAAUUCACCGGUAUAGCUCUCCGGGUGAUAAUUGCCAUCAUCAGAUCAUGGUCUUUGUUGAGAGCAUUGUCGAAAGGGUGGAAAGUGAGUGGAAAUCUGGUUUCCGUGUCCUCAUAGGGCAUCCAUGCCCGCUGGUCUUUGGUCAGACCCUCAUAGAGAGUCUGAAAGAAUCGGCUGAUCUGGUCUUCGUUGCCACCGGUGCCAGGUAAAACUAUGGCGGCCUCACCAUAGUUCAAAUGGGGGCGGGUUGCCGAUUCUUCCUCAUCCAGUUCAUAAUCUUCGGCUAUGUCUCUGGGAAAGUGCUGUGCAAAAAGAUCGAAUCCUAGGCGCUUGUGCAUGUGAACACUAAGCCACAUAUUGAUGAACCACCAAGGUCCCCCUAAGUUGCCGAUGGGUUGGCCUAGCAGGAGUUUUUCAGCUACCUGGUGGAGAAGGUGAUAGACAGAGCCAAGCAGAUAUCGGCCAAGGGGAAAUCAGCCACCAUCGGCUAAUCUCUCUACUACCGAUAGAUAGACAGAGGUUGGCCCUACCAAUCGGCCACAGAAAACAAACUUAUCCAACCACAUAAAUCGCAUGUUCCCUCUGUACGACUGGCCCUGUUUUUCAGUAUUUCUAGAUAUAUCCCGACCAACCGCCUAUUUUACGAGUGUCUACUUUGCGCUCAGGUUUGCGGUCAUAUAUAUGGUUAUCAUCGCCAGAUGAUAUGUCCAGACCAGUAAGCAUCAGCACAUCGGCUAAAGUAGGGGAUGCAGGACCAUGGCCGAAUACAAAAGCAUUGAGGGUGUCAGACCAGAAGUAUGAGGAGGCUAUCAACAGAGAUUUGUUCCUCUCCAUAUCGGCAAUAGACAGCCUAAUACAUUGGUCCAAUUUUUGCUCACCCCAUCGGACUUCAUUCGAGUUGCCGAUUCUCAGAAACCAGUCUUUCCAACCCUUGGUGGAACUGGGCCAGGAACGAAAAGUAUCUUUCCAUAGGUUUAAAGAAAAGUUUUCGGCUCUAAAUGGGAUCCUGUUUGUCUCUGCAUUUAUCAGAUCGGUGGGAUCUGGAUUUCCCAACGGGCCGAGACACUGGAAGUGAGGUUGAUCGGUAGGAAUCACGAUCUUAUUGACCAAAUCCUAAAGGGUUUUAAGGAUGAAGGAAUAGAAAAGAAACAACAAGAAAAAAAGGGGUACUCAGUAAAAAGAAUCACAGAUGAACAGGAGUACAGCAGAAAUAUAAAGGGAAGGGGGAUGGUAAGCUGACCUCAGGGACGACGAAGUUGAUGGCCAUUUCUUCCCGAGAGGAGGAAAGAUCGAAGGCUUCGGGGAUUGUUGGAGGAGAUCCUUGUUAGAGUUCUUGGAGUUCUCAAGCAAUGCCGCCGCUGGGAAGGUGGAUUUGAGACUGUAGAAUGACAGGAUGGAAGAAGAGUACCGGAGAAGGAAGUAUUUAUAGGACAAGGAGGGCAGGGGCAAAUUUGACUUAUCUCUUUGCCGUAUCCGUGAAAUUCGAGGGUGUUCAGGUGGAUAUGGUAACUGUUCGCACGAUAAUCAAGGGAUUGUGCAGGUGAUUUGACAGCAAGCGGUCGUGAUUAUGAAGAUAUUUUACUGUGCGAGAUCUCCUGGUCGGUUCAUCGGCAGUCUUGUCUAACGGAAAUGUUGCCCAUGAGAGUGUUCUGGAGAGAUUCGGUUCGAAAAGGUUGGGAAGUUCGAGGAAUCUGCGGGAGGACCAGGCUGAGGUUGUUUAGAUUUGGUAAUUAAUUAUCAAUCAAGGGAAGUAAUUGCAGAAAGGUAUCAUUACUGAGGAGAAUUUCGGAGCAUUAAUGAUUUUAUACUCCGAAAUUGGGGGGCAUGUGUUGACACAGUUUUUGGACACGUAUCUUUGGGCACGUGUCUGGAGUUAAUGAGGUGUAGAUCGACAGGUGGAGGAGUAGUGACUAGUCUACAGGAGAGUUGCCGAUGAGGGUUGAUGCCGAUGCAAAAGCACCCGAAUACAACUGAGUCCAAGAGUGGUGAUACGUUCAUACUGAUGGCCAAUGCUGACGGUUGCCGAUGGCUGUGAAAGGCGGUCUGCCGAUGACUCUGAAGAAAAGCACAGGGGUUGCCGAUUGACUCAGGAUGGGGUACCGAUUGAUCGUAGAGGAUACUUUAAUGUUUUCUUUAGUUAUUAGAGUUCGUUUUGUAUACGGGUUCCGUUUAAUUUAGAAUUCGAGUCCUAGUCGUCUCUGGUUGUAGCUCUUUGGACAGGGUAUAAAUAUAGACCCUAGGGCAAUGUAAUGAGACAUCUAUCAAUCAAUCAAACACAAGUUUUUACACAUAUUGUAGCAUCUACUUUUUCGAUGACUUCGUCAUAUUUUUCUUUUAUUACGAGUUCUUAGGAAUUCGUCGAGUCAAACUCGGCGUGUUCUCAAGUUCCGCGUGAGCACCUCUUGGCCGUGACAUCCGGGCGCAUCGCUGUUGUCGGGACCAAAGUGUUCGAGUUACUACCUUCGUCGAUUAUAAGGUCAAAUCGGCUGGCACGACUUAACGUUUGAAUCAGGAAUUAGCCCUUUGUGUUUGCAGAUCAGCUUUUGCACCAACAGAGAGACAUUUGCAUAAAAAUCACUUCCUAUAUUAUUUCAUUCUCUAACAAUUUUUCUAUAUCUCAUAUGCACUCUAGAGAGUCAUUUUCGUCUUCUAUUUUUUCUAUAUUUCAAAAUAGAAUAUGUCUAUAUUUGGGUAACUAUUUAGAGAAAUUUUUAGAGGAUAAAUUUUCACCAAAAUCUCUAUUCCUAAUGUUUAGAAAGAAUUUAGGGAGUCUCUUGGAGUUCGUCUAAAUCAGUUGGUGGAGCAUAGUAUUAUAGCAUUUUUAUUCCUACAAUGAGCAUCACUGUAUUAGCAUGUUUGGUUAUGUAACUUUGUUUAUUAUCGUGAGUUCACCAAUAUUUGUGAUCUGAAGUUAGAAAAAAACAAGAAAAUAUUUUCUAUUUUAUUUAACAACUUUAGAAAACUGAAUAAAAUAUUAAGAUUACUUUUCUACACAUAAAAACUUCAGAAAAAAAUUAUAUUCCAAGUAUUUUAAAUAUUGUCACCCGACCAUGUGACAAUAAAGCAAGCCAACAUGGACAAGAAUAUUUAAAGUAAUUCAAUAAAAUAAUUUGUGGCACACCACCUCCGUUAUCGGUUUGUGACAUUCAUAAAUUAGUCCUUAUGAGAUAGAAAAUACUACCACUAGAUGGAAUUGGACUAGCUGCAUAACAUUUUUGUGAUAUAUAACUUUUUUAUUGUCACCAAGCUGAAAUGCCUAAAACAUUGUAUCAUAAACCGGAUGGUAUAAUGACAUUAUAACAUGUUGACAUGCUAAGUACGUCAAAAAGUAACAUAUUCUUGUAGUGUAGUAUCAAUUAAUAGUGUAGAAAUUAGCUUUAGAACUGAAGUUUUAGAGGAGCCGCACCAUUUUAUACUAGAAGGGGAGCCCAGAUUUGUUGUCUAUUUCUAGUCGCUAGGAUGGUGGCGAAAACAGCUUAGCAUUGAAGAUUUAGAGGAGCCAAAGCUAUUUUGAGAGAAGCCCAAAUUUAUUGAUUACUUGAAGUAGACUGAGCUAGAAAUGUUUUUGGAGUAAUCAAAGUCAACCCUAUCAUACACAAAGUUAACCAUCCUUGGACAAAAAAGAUGCUCCUUUUAGCAUUUUACACAAUUAUCAAGUAUUAACAAAGAGUAUUGUAGUUGGAUUUAGCAUAUGACAAGUGAUAAAUGUAUUGCAUAUGUAGGGAAUCAAAGGGGUAGCACUAGGACAAAACUUAUACCGGUUAAAGCACAUGGUACUCUAAGUCUAGUUGAGAACAACUCCUUUAUUGUGUCAUACACUUGGAUGCAAUUGUACUAAUGAUGCUAGGGCUUAUGGCUAAGAAAUAAUAUGUCGAUAUAGGAGACCCUGCUCCUUAGUAGGAUUUACAUUGGGUAGCUUGGUAGUUUUCUGAAUGUUUUUUUGAUAUUUUUGAUAAAGUCUAUUUGACCCCUAAACUAUCAACAUAGUAUAAUUACCUUCCGUGUGACUGAUAUGGUGCCACAUAUGGCAUCUAAUAUGGUGCUACAUUAAACUAAAGAGUCUUUUCCCUGUGCGCCAUAAUAAAAGUUGAGUUUUGCAAAUCAAGAAGUUCUAACUUACCUUGUAUUGCAUGAAUAGAUGGAAGUGGUAAUUGUCUUUAGAGGGAGAUUAUCAUGAUAACCGGCUAGAUGAGUAUCAAAGCAGAGCACACAUAGACAAUAAAGGGUUGGGACAACUUAUAAUACAAGCAAGGAACGCCUUAGGCAAAUAACUUGACCCAUUUAAGUGUAGAAAUUGUUUUGGAGGAAAACUAACCUAAGUGUUAAGGUUGUCGCUUGUUAAUGUUAAUCGACUCUUGUCUAUCUUAUAACUUUUUUUAUCUCUUUCCUUAAUGAGUUGAGUUUUGCAAAUCAAGAAGUUCUAACUUGUUACCUUGUCUUAUAUGAAUAGAUGGAAGUGGGGCAACUAGUGGUGGCUACCCAUGGAGCGAACAUCGAAGGCUUCCCAGCCUUUCUUAAUGAGGCCAUGUGGUGAAACAACUUCUCCCAUUGCUCAGAAUGUGUAGUAUAUGCCCAAGGAGUUAGCCAUGAAUGGUGGACUAUAUGGCCAAAGUUCAACUACUGAGUCACAUCACUAAAGCCAAUGAAGAGAUGAAUUAGGUCAUGUGGGGAAAGGGAACUUCCGUAGAUAUGAUUAUUGUGGUUGUGGCUCAUCAAUCCAUAACUAACUAUGAGAGGAGUUGUAUCUAUUGGAGGAGGCAUUGUUCCAACACUUCCUCAUCAAGAUGUAGAUGAAUAACGUGUAUGACUUUCCUAUGAUGACUACUAAAGAUUACUUGUAUGCCCAAAGAAUGAUGGAGCUCAUGAAGAGUCAGAGUUGGAUGACUAAUGCUUGGAGUUUGAGCUGCGGUACACCAAAGUCAAAGGCCCUUGCUUGGUUUUGGUAAUUGAGUGACAACCUAGGUGGACUAAAAUGUAUUUAUGUGAGAUACACAAGAGAUUAGUCCAUAGAUAAAUAUGAGAUAAUGGAGUUCAUUGCAUAUAAGAUGUGACAUGGAGUCAUGUGACCAAGAUGGAGAAGACUAAGAUGAGGCUUGGCUCAAUGGACUAGUUGCAAGUGUGAAGUGCAAGUUAGAGGCUUUGAAGUGAGGGACCGUGUAUGAUGGUGAAGCUUGAGCAAGACUUGGCACUAAUGGACCGACGCAAUGGUGAAGAGUAAGUAAGGUCAAGUUCGAUGAACCAAUAUGGUUAGAUGAUGAUAUAAAGUGGAUUAUAUCAUUUAUGAUUUUGUUGGUACAUGUGCGCAUCAACAUCGGAGGAGAUGAAAAUGGAAUGUGAAAAGAAAAGGUAUGUUUGUAGGACAUUUCAUUUCACUAGUCAUAGAUGUGUAGAGAAGUUGAUGAUCGAGUUUAGGAUAGAUGGCCGUACUGUCAAGAGGGGCAAACUUGUUUGCAUAUCGGUCAUCUAGUGCCACUCGAGUGACCUAACUUUUCGUUGUUGCUAGGAUAGAGUGGCAUGUCAAGUUGAUAGCUAACUCCUUUAAGAAAAUAUUUGUGAUAAUUCUAACAUACAUGCACAUGGUUGUGUACACUUGUUGGUGUUGGCUCAUUUGCAAAGGUGUUGGAGUUGAUUUUGAUCAAUUUGGUGAAGAUAGAGAGGUUUUUUAGUGUACUACAAACACUAGGAUGGAUCUUGGAUUGGAAUACUACUUUUAUCCAUUGUGACUUGGAUGAAGUAUCCUUGUGGGCUGUUUAGCCCUAUGAGUAAGAUUUCCAAAAUGUCCAAGAUCAUCGAAUUCAAAGUUUGGAACUAAGAAUUGUGGCUAUUUCAGUGCUAAGAGAUGUGUGACCAGACGGUGGACGCUAGGCACCUGCGCAUUCGGUGCAACACCUGUGAGUCUAGUGGCAGUGUCUGGUGUAUGUUUUCAUGUAUAGAAGUAGCCAAAGGCAGGGGUGCAUCCAGUCACCUACCACCUGAAGCAUCUGAUGGUGAAAACAUGCUCUAGAACCUCUCUGUUGCGCACCGGACGCUGGUGGCUGCUCUAUGCCUACGCGUCUAGUGACCUUUUAUCGAGGAGCGAAUGGUGCGGACUAGACACUAGACGAUCAUUAUUCAGUGUCAAGUCAUGUGUUUGCACAUGCAAGAACUAGUCAUUGGUGCAACGCACAUGUGUGUUUGUGCUAUGCACGUGUGCGUCCAAUGAAUGUGUUGUCUACGCAGUGAAGUGUAACGGCUAGUUUAGCCCUUGGGGCUAUAAAUAGAUGUGGUGACCAGCUUUGGCUGUUGCUUGGCACCCUUGGGACUUAGUGUCCAUGCUUGGAGAGUGCUAGGUAAGCCUCUAACCCACUUGCACUUGCGAUAGCGAGUGAGCGAUUCUAGUGCGAUUGCAAUUAAGAGAUUGCAUCGACUAACACUAGGUGUUCGUGUUGCAAGCCAGUGGUGCUUGUUAGUCUUAGAGACUACCACAUCCUAGAUAGUUUGGUGGCUUGUGACUUUGUUGAAGCACGUAAGAAGACUAUGUGGUGCUCCGAAGGAGGAUUUGUGAGAGGGACGGUGCUCAUUCGCGGGUAUCACAAAGAGCAACUCUAGUAAGGCAAAACACGAACAGCAACAAGUGGUUCUGCCACAUCAAAUGCUAGAGUAAGCACUCCAUGUGGGAGAGUGCAACUUGCGGGUCAACGCUAGCAAGAGAAUCGAAGGCAACCUUAGAGCUUGUCUCAAUGAGAACUUAGCUUGGUGGCAACCAAGUGAACCUUGAAAGAAAAAUCACCAUGUCAACAUUGUCAUCUCUUCUUGGUGGCUUACAAUUUAUAUACACAAGCUUUUUACCUAUUGUUCAUAUAUAUAAUGCUUGUGUAGUUGUUCUUGUAACUAGUUUAGCUUGUGUAGAUUGGUAGUUACCUUCUUGCUUGUGUAGCAUAGAAGUAGUUCCCUUGCAUGGCUAAUUUAGUUUUAGUAACCAUGUUAGUCACAUUGCUUAGUUUAUGUAGCUAAGUAAUUUGUGCUCUCUAAUUUGGUAUUGGUUGCCUUGUUAUUGAGAAUUGCUAGUGAGCUUAGAAGCUUUGUGCUUUUGCUUACUAGUUGUGUAGAAGCUCCACCGUUCUUGAAGUACUAGCGGCAUAGGUUUGUGUGACCUUGCUCCUAGAAUUGGUUAGGUGAGCUCAACCUAGCCAAGCACCUUAGUUGCUUUGUUCAGGAUCUUUGUAAGAUGCUUGUGAAAUUAGACAGAGGAGUGAAGUCUUGGCUAGACUAAUAGUUUUAAUUCUAUAUAAGUUUUGGUUAGAUGGUGUGAUAAGUUUUUAGAAGGACUAUCCACUCCCUCCUCUAGUCUGCCAUCUCGACCCUACACAAAGCAUGCUUUACAGGCUUAUAGCACUGUUUGACGGUCCUUAAUGCUCACAUUUAACCAUCAACUAAUCAUGGAAAAGGAUCCAAAUGCAUCCAACACCCAGACUUAGGGUUUUAUUUGACAGAAUUCCACGAGUUUUGGUGUUUGUCUAUUUCUGCAGGGGGUUAUCAGUAAAUGUGGAGGAAAGGCCCACACGUCGGGUUCACAUAGAGAUAUUAACGUCUGCGCCAAAUUUCUAUAAUCUAGAAGACUCUAGAAGCCACGAGAAUGAGCGGGAGGCCGAGCGGGCCCGGGGGCAGGGCGCCCGCCCUGCCCUGCUGAUCAAUCAGGGCAGGUCUCGCGGAUCAUGCUCCACCGCCUUUGAGGAUCAAGGAAAACCGUGCGAUUAAGGUCGGUUUGAUCCGACGACCCACGUUCAUUUGGAAGGGCUAUAUAAGCAGGCCCCCUGGCCCUUGGAGAACAUAUCUCUUCUACAGAAUCAAAGCUAGGGUUUCAAUUAUUCAUCCAAGUAGAGAGGAUCCCUCUAGUUCAUCUAGUUCUAGUUCUAGUUCAUCUAGUUCUAGUUCUAGUUAGUUCUAGUUGUAAUCUAGAAAAUAGGGAGAGAGAAGAGGAGAGCGGAGGAGGAUCCGGAUCUGUCGGAUCUUCCUCAACAUUGUACUUUUGCAGCAACUGGUUUGUUCUUCAUCGUUCUCCAAGUUCUUCAAUUCAUAAUUCCUGAGUUCUUUAAUUACUUUUAUUUACAUUCAAGUUAUUUAUUGGUUCCCGCUUGCAUCAAGUGCUCUAGUCUUUGAAACGCUAGAGUAGUAAUUAAUAGAUUAGAUGUGGUGUUUAGUCUUGCAAUUACCUAGAAUUACACCCAAUCCCGCGGAUUGUUGUGGUAGCCCUAGGGUAGUGACAGCCCUAACGGUCGACGUAUUCCAACUCGUUUGGAUCGGUGUUUGUAGGACCGUAGUCAGAGCUUCUUAGCCCCCUUCUCAUCUCUUUCUGUGGUUAGUGUUCUGAUGUCCCGAAAUAAAUAAUCUUUGAAGUAAUUCUUGAUUAUUAGAUCAACUAGAGAACUCUCAGGAAACUUCCUCUCUUCCCACCAAAAAUAAUGUUAUAGUUAUCCUUGGGCAAUCUUGAAUCUUAAUUAGUACACUCACGUUCCCUGUGGAAAAUCGAUACUCUAGAAUACUCUCGGGUGAAAGCUACAUCGGUAUCCGUGUGCUUGCGGAUUUUUCUGUUUGCGUUUAAAAUACCCAACAAACUUUCUGGCGCCGUUGCCGGGGAACGGUAGCUGUGCUAGUUUCGAACCAAGUCGUCCGUGUAUCUUUUUUCUUUUCCUUUUUUACCACACUCACCUUACCAUUUUCACAAUACCACAUGUAUUUCACUCCCAACAUUAAUGAGCAUGGAAGUUAUUUCAUAGCCACUUCGUUUACUCCAUGCUCAUAUGCAACAUCUUCCCAAUCUAUUGGUCUCUCCAACAUCACCACAUUCGAGAUCUCCAACCCCCUCUUCCUUUCUAUUUAUAAAAACUUUAAAAGGGCGGUUGUCGAUGCAUAUGUCUAUAAUAAAUAUUGCAGAUCUCGUUGAGUUGAUAUAGGUUAGCGUUGGAGGGAAAACCACGUCGCCGACAUAAAUUGAUGGUUUCCCAAGGACAAGCUUAGUGUCCUAAAAUAAGCACUGAUCAGAUCGUAACAUGAGCUUUUAAUUAUUUGCAACAUUACCUGGUGUAUUGAGCAUAUAAGGAUAAUUGUAAAAAAAUUCCUUCGGGUAUUCUUGUCACUAACCUUUCUAGGAUUGGAGCAAGAAGAUUGGAUGAAUGACAAGCACAAGGUAUGUCCAACCAAUCAUCAUACAACAUUGAAUUAAAUUCAUCCAAACUUGAAUUUUGCAAAAUUCAAGCUUGGGGGAGUACUUUACAUAAAAACAUCCUUUGCCAUGUUGCUAUGUUGGUUGUCCCUACCUUUGAGACAUGCUCAAUUUGUUAAAUACUAAUCACACUACUUCAUCUCCACUUGAGUAGAUCUCUAUAAAUGCUCUCAUGCUACCUUUAUUUUCUUUAGUAUAUGUCUAGGUUUGGAGUAGUUUCAUUUAUCUCUUAAUUAAGCAUGGUGCUUAGUUUAGGAAUGAUGAUCUUACUUCCAAGGGAUUUUAAAUUAAGCAUGAUGCUUAGGUUAAAAUGCCCUCCUAAAUCAAAUUAGACAUGGUGUCUAGGUUGAUUUUUGAGCCGAUAGUAUGCUAUAGUAGAUAUUGGAUAUUUUGUUCGACUAACCCCUGCAGGAAAACUUUCAAUAUCAACCUGGGAAGUCCUGAGAUAAACUCACAUUGGAGACAAAGAGAGAGACACAUGAAUUUAACAAUUUACACAAGGAAGGCAUAGCUCACAAGAGAUGAUCCAUGGAGGGUGCCAUAAACACGAUGCACAACCGCUAAGAAAGGAAAGCUUCCACAAGGUGAUAUUGUACCAUCACUCUUCAAGUAAGGUAACAUCUUAAGGUACUUGACUAUCACUUUUAUAAGCUUCUCCUUGGUUCUGGCGUUCACAUGAAUAAAAGAGACAAACAUGUAUGAUUUACAACUCUAGAUUAACCAACCCAAUCUAUUCAAUAUGUUUAGUCCUUCCACCUUUGUGAUCCCACACUCCUAAUCAUAUGAGCUAAAAUGUUGCACAUGCAAUCUUUGGAAGAUAUAUAUAUAUAUAUAACAUAAGUAUAGAUAGAUUAUCUUUCCAUUAGGUUGAGCGAUCUGAUCUGACAAAUGCUUUAAAUGCUACACUCAUGAUCUUAUUAUCCAUCAACUUUGUCUUGCUCACUAUGCUUAAGGUUAGAGAAGAACAAAUACACUUUUGGUUUUGUUGGUGUUUUCCACCAACAGGGCCCAUGCACUUGAUCUCUACCUUGUCUCUAUGAGUAGGUACACUUCGAGCAAAAUAUGAAGGAGUUUUACAACACCCAGACUCAACCAAGUGAAGAACUUGGAUCUCCGAGCACAAACACACUGGAGAUACUGGACACUCAGGCAAUCAUUGCUUUGAGAUGCUUAAGGACGUAAACUACAUCAUCAUCAUCAAAAACAACAACUACUACAACCGUCCUCAACAAAAUCAAGGUUGGAAUCAACAGAAGCCUAACUACUUAGGUAAUUAUCAAGGUAAUAAUUCUUACAAUAAUAAUAAUAAUUUUCUACCUCUGAGAGAGUUAGUGUCUAAUCAAGGAAAGCUAAUGGAUAACCUAUCUAAGAAAUUAGCAUCUAAUGAUUAAAUGUUAGAAAAUAUAAAUAAUAGAAUGGAUAAUUUCUCUACUGCCAUCAAGAAUUAAAUUAGCUUUAAUAAAAUGACUGAAUCUUAGUUAAAUCAAAUAGUUGUUCCUGCUACUAACCCCAGUAUACCAUCACAACCGGAAGGAUUAGAAUCUGCAAAUCUUGUAGACAUGUUUGAUGCAGGCAACUACUAGAGUAACCCCAUUGUGGAAUUAAUUACUAACCUUCUGCUGGUCAAGAGAGGCGAUCCAGGACACCCCGUCAUCCAAAUCUCCAUCGGCAUGGUGGACUUCCCAGAAGCACUCUGCGACUUUGGCUCCAGCGUCAACAUUAUUCCCAGGGUACUCUAUGAAAAAUUCUUUACACAUCCUUUACUAGUAACAACUAUGUGUUUGCAGCUUGUAGAUCGGACACUAAGUUUCCCAAAGGGAAUAUUGAAGAACCUCUGCAUCCGAGUUGGUAGCUAGUACACCCCAGCAGACUUCGUGGUGAUAGAGACUGGUACUGAUGAGAGGGCACCCAUCAUCCUAGGGAGGCCAUUUCUGAACACCUCAGGAGCUGUCAUCUACGCUAGUGCUGCCAAGAUCAGUUUCUACAUCAAGGGGAGGAAGGAGACGUUUUCCUUCAAGAACAAAACUACACAAAUCUCAGAGCAAUCCCAACAUAAACCAAGGAAGAGGACCAACAGGAGGAACAGGAACAAGCAAAUGUGGACCGAGUCAGCUAAGAUGGUCACUGCGGUUCAAGGAGGUCAAGAUCGUCGACUUAAGUCACCGUUCCUGACCAAAAAAGAUGACCCAGGUAUGCCAAGCAUCCAUUGCUCCAUUAAUGGAUACAACUUCUAGAAGACGCUUUACGACACCGGGUCGGGCGUCAACAUAAUGGCCGCAGUCACCUAUCAGCUCCUGUUCGGAUCCAUGCCCCUAAAACCGACAUACAUUCAGCUUCACAUGGCAUAUCACACAUUCCAAAAGAAACCAUGCCCCUAGUAAAUGAUGUCCCUGUCAAAAUAGACGAUCAUUUUGUCCAUACAGAUUUUCAGGUUAUUGACAUGGGAGAAGACGAGUACGAUCCACCCAUCAUCCUUGGGAGACCGUUCCUCAGCACCGUUAAAGCAAUCAUCUACAUUGGAACCAGAGAAGUCCACAUGCACUUCCCCUCUGAGAAGGUACGCCGCUAUUUUGCUGACCCUAACUAUAUAGUUGAAGACUCUAAGCAGGUCAGGACAAGAAGAAGACGACGCAACUGCAACCAGAUGAGGUAAAUCAUCAAGGACGGAUGGCAGACUACGAAGGAGAAGUGGUAAGGUCUGAAGACAUACAGCUUGAAUAGAACUAUCCUGAGGAGACCGUAGCACCGAGUCAGGUGUGGAGAGAGAAGAUAGUUAUACACGUAGAGGAGGCGCCGCCGGAACCACCGACUACGCCAUUCAGCGAAUCCCAGGACGACUGAGAAAACGGAGAGUCCCGUUCGGAGAACUUAAGAACACAGAACGCCUCGCCAAAAGGUAAAAUCGGUAGUUAUCCAUAUUUAUCCUUUCAGCAUUCCCUUUUUCCCUUAAAUUAUUUACUUUCAUUAAAUGACUUGUUAGUUUAUCAUGCUAUCUUGAAAAGAAAAAUAAAAAUGUUAAAACCAGUAAGCCCCAUGUGAGUAUACAAGUGGCGUAAAACCCAUAAGUACAUUCACUGUGGUGGCAUAAAAAAUAUAUAUAAUAAAAUAAAAAUAUUCUUCUGCUCUAUAAAAAAUAAAAAUAUAAAAAAUAAAUUUAUGAUCCUACCAAAGAGAACGAUAUUUAUUAGAGGAAGCUCUACAUGAUAACGGCUAAGAGAUUUUAUGCUAACACUUAACCAGUUCCAUAAAGCUUUGUUGUCUAUUUGAGCUCCACAGAAUUCAAGGAUCAAAGAAGACUAACAGACGGAGGACAUCCUAAUCGCUGUCAGGGUGCUGCCAACAUUCAAAUACACCUCCGCCACCUGCUAGCUACAUCAGAAGAAAUUACGUCAAGAUCCAGCUUGGGGUAGAGCACCCCCAUUUAUCCAGCUAAGUGUUCUACUCACGUUUAUACUUUACUCAAAUAAUAAAAAGAUGCAUAAUCAUAAAAACCCAAAUAAAGAUGUUGUGCUUAUAUAUAUAUCUUUGUUUAGUUUGCUAAAUAAAUAAAUAAAUAAAGUUUGCUAUGAACCCUCAUGAUAAGCUCUCACAUGGAAAUGAUGAAUAGUUGCUCUGCCAUGACUAGUUGUCAAAAUUGAAAUCUCUCUCAAGUUUAGGCAUGACUGUUAUUAAUUAAGAUUUGCUCUAAACCUGAACUUGUGGGAAGAGUACUUGAUCUAAAGUCUAAGUCGUUAAUGGAUACGAUAUGGGAAGGUUGAGCUGAUGUUUAUUUGUUCCUAGAGAUGCUAGAAUUCUGGAGAAUUUUAUCUUUGAAAAUCUUUAAAAUGUUGCAUGAUGAGUUCCUGUAUGAUGAGAGUUUAAAAUCCUACCACAGCCAUAUAUACAUGCUUAUUAGACUAUGAACCAUACAUUUACUUUUUACUGCUUAUGAGCAUUGAGUGUGGUCAAGCUGUGUAGACCCUUAGGAGCUUGUCAUGCGGUUAAAAUCAAGAUUCACUUUCACGUUCACUCAUACAUGCUGCUUCUACUCCAGAAGUACGCAUCCACAUACAUCCACUCAUUUCCAUAUCCAGAUUCACCCAAAAUUAUUCUACUCCUAUCUAGGAGAGAAUAGCCAAAAACAUUAUCCUAUCUGUGUUAUUCCCCGUGAAAUAAAUGCUCAAGAUAUUUUGGUUACUACCACUUGCUACAUUAUUCCAGGAGGGUGAGUGCUCUGAAAAAAGAGUGAAUACGAGGAAAUAAAAAGGGGCAAGUGCCCGAAACCUCGAAAAAAAAAGAAAAAGUGAGAUGAGAGGUAAAAAUGGACAAGUGUCCGAUAGUAGAAUUAGGGGUACAAGAUACCCACCUGAGAGAAAAGAAAAAUAAAAUAUAGAGCAUCUCAUUCCCCUCAAAAGCCUCAAGUGCAAGGAAGGUAUGUACCCCCUCAAAAGAGCAAAAGUAGAAUUAGACUUUCACCAUUAUCACCAUUCAUUCGCUACACAUGCACAUCUUGAUUUGACUUAUUGACUUGUUCUUCUGGAUCCAUGGUUUGACUAUGCAAUAAAUGUCUUGUAGGUAUGUAUUAGCUGUCUCCCACCUAUGAGCUCCAGAUAUCAAAACCUUAUUAGAGUAGGGUGAGAGAGAAGACAAUGCCACUAUGCCUCAUACCAAAAAUACCACAUACUUUGAGAGAAGGCAUACACCAUUACUGCCUUGGUAAGGAUCCAGAAAUACCACAAAGGAGAGACUAGAGAGAGUCAUACAAGGAAUCUCUGAGUUUUAUUUGAAAAUCUUCAAAAACUUCAGAGCUAUAGUUAAUCGAAGAACAAGAGACAUGGCGCUUGACUAGACCGUUCUAUCUUUUAACUGCUCCAGACACAAGUGACGGUUGCAAGCCCCCAUGGUGUAAGGAAAAAUGAGUAAGUUUAAAUCUUAACAGUUUACCCUAACCUAGAGAUGAGAUCUUGUUUGAACGCAGGUGUACCUUUAAGGCAUGAAACCACUGCAGAAACUCUUGAGUCCAUCCUUGCUCAGGGACGAGCAAAGGUUAAGCUUGGGGGAGCUUGUUGACAGUCCUUAAUGCUCAUAUUUAACCGUCAACUACUUCCGGGUGAAAGCUACAUCGGUAUCCGUGCGCUUGCGGAUUUUUCUAUUUGCGUUUAAAAUACCCAACAAGCACCAAGUGGAGCCCUAUGUGAGGACUAGGAGAAUAUUGGAUAUUGUCCUAUACUUUCCUCAUGGAGAUAUAUAACCUGUGUAUGAGUGGACUGAACCUCUAUACACCUAUCUAAAAGCACAUGGCAUUUGGAUUCCCAGUGAUGAGGACAUCGCUACAUUGGACACGCCUACACCACUGUCUUCUCCAAGUUACAACUCAUCUCCAACUCAGCUGCCAUGUUACCCUCGAAUUCAGCACACACGUCGUAAUGUUUCAAUCAUAAUUUCUUCAUACGACAUCAAAAUAGGGAGAUCUUGGACUUGUUGAAAAGGGGAUGACGAGGACAUUGUUUUGGAUCUAGUCCUAGCUCCAGAUGGCCUAUGGAUUAAUCUAUGUGACCAUGGCAAGGUGUUGCAUCACCUAUUUUGGGUCAACUUGGCCAUGUAUCGAGUCGGGCCUUAAGCUUGUGGGUGCCAUCCCUAAACCCUAAACCAACAGAGCAGUGGUGUAAUGUUUGUAGGGUUUGAAUCGUGUCUGAUUCGAAGUCAGACCGCCGACAUCGAGAUCUAAACAAAUCGAACUUACUAGUUACCUCUCGAAAGAUUGGGCCUGUACUCAUCAAUUGGUGUCAGAUAUUUCAGGUUUACCACGAGGUAUAAUCUCAUUUGCCUUAGAUUCAAAUUUGUUCGUUACCUAAAGUCCACAAAAAGCCUAAAAAUAUUUCAAUUUCUGUUGUCCUAUCACCCGUUGUGCCGUACAAUUUUGUUUUCAAAUUUGCUUUAUUGAGUUUAUGUCCUUGUUUGAGUCUAGUUGUUGGCUUCAAUUGUGUUCGUCGUCGUAGUUCAACUGCACCAUUGCUGUUCUUUGUUUCUGCUGUUAUCCUAUCCAUGACUUGCUCGCCAGCCAUCUUAUGUGAUCUCUGUUGAUAUUUGGUAACGCAAUCAGGAAUUAAUCUGCAAGCGCACGGAUAUCUAUGAGCACUUCACACGGGAUGUUAUCCAGAGUAUCGUAUUUAUAUUUUUACCACUAGGAGAAAGUGUGCAUCUGACUAACCAAGUCUGUUACUACUAACCUUUAGGCUACAACCACUAUGACUCGAUGUGAGCGAUGUAUAGAGAAGACUUCAACUACACCCUCGUUCUAACCUUGGUAAGGAUAAUCUACUGUUCUGUUGGGGAGGCUCACGGAAUCUAGACACCACAGAGGAUGUUCGACCCACACCUAUAAACCCUAUUGAUCCUACUAACGGGAUUAUGGGCUACAAAGGUAACUCGGAAAUGUCACGUUCCUCGCUACUACCACGGUCCAGCUAGACAGGGGAUAUCUAUGAGUAUCCUAGCCCAAACACCACGUUUAUGCUAGAGAUGAUUACUCUAAACUCUACGCGAAGAGAUCAAAGUAAACUCAUAAACCAAAGAACAAUAAAACAAAGAACUUACUAGAAUUUACAAGUCGAAAUACUGAAGAAUCCCAGGAGCAAGCCUCGGGUUAAGAGACUUGAUCCCGCAGGAACAACCUCAGAGUAGACACGGACAGGCCGGGCUUCCUCCGAUCUACACCUCCACUCUAUCUCUCUCAAUCUAGUAGAACUAAUUCUACUCUCACAUUGGAUGCUAAGCCCUAUGAGGUUGGAAGCCUAAAGGAACCUCUCUCUCUGAAUCCUCUCUGAAAAAUAUGCUAAUGAAUAAUGAGGAUUGAUUUCUCUAGGGGCCAGGGGCCUUGCUUAUAUAGCCCUCUCAAAUGAAUCUGGGCCGUCGGAUCAAACUGACCUUGAUUGAACGCUUCUCCUUGAUCCUCAAAGGCGGUGGAGCAUAAUCCGUGUGAUGCACCCUGAUUGGCCACCAUAGGUGGGCGGGCGCCCAGGGGGUUGGGCGGGCGCCCUGCCGGUGGGCCCGCUCAAUCGUGUGGCUUCUGGAACCUUCUAGACUGAGGAAAAUUGGCGCACAAGUUAAUAUCUAUAUGUAAACCUAAAGUGUGGGCCUUUCUUCCAUAUUUCCUGAUAUCCUCCUGCAGAAAUAGAUAAACAGCAAAACUCGUGGAAUUCUGUCGGAUCAAACCCUAAUUCUAGGUGUUGUUUGUAUACUAGUCCUUUUUCCUUAUUUAUUUCAUGAUUAAAAUUGAUACUUAAGAACCGUCAACAAACAACCCAUACUUAGGCUUUUACUUGUCCUCGAGAAAAGGAUGGUUUAGAAAAAUAUCUAGGGUUAAAACAUUGUAAAGCAUUCUCUUUAUACCUUGCAGAGUGUUGUCAAAAUCCACUGUGUACCAUAGUUAGGGAAAUAUAUGGUCAAAAGUAGAGGUCCUUUCUUCUCAUUCCUGUCACUUGGAGUUUUUGUAUAUUUUUUUGAAAAGAAAUUUAGCAUACCUUUAUCCUCAUAGGUUCUCUCAGAUCGCUCAUUUAUCUUUUGUAUAUCUCACAGAGGUUGUUUUAAUUUGCAGAAAUUCUCAAGCAUUUUUACCUUGCAUUUAUUUCCUGAUCAAAACGGGAUCCGAGGAGAGGAAUGCCAUACUCUUAGAUCAAAGACUUUGGAAAUUAAAAACUUGUCAACUCUUACUGGCAUAUUGCUUAUUAGAGGGACCAUGGGCUAUCAUUUUCUUCUCUCUCUUUUUUCUGGUGGAUACCGAGGUACCCCUAAUUCUACUGUCGGACACUUGUCCAUUUUUUCUGCGAGGUUGUCGAGCACUUGCUCCUUUUUAUUUCCUCAAAUUAUUCAUAUUCUUGCAUAGCCCAUGCCUCUAAUACAAUAAUACUUCGGAAGAGUGAAUCUUUCUGAAUAAAUGUCUUGAUCAUAGGAGCAUGAUAAAUCUCUCAACAAGGGUCUAACUCAUUUUGAACAAACUCAAUACAGAGCAUAUAGCUUUUAUAAUUAUCACAAUUAAUAUUUUCAGGUUGAGCAGGCAUAUAAAACAUUGAGGAUGGUAGCUAGAAUUUUUGAAGAUUUUGAAAUAAAUUCUCCAAGCAACAAUGAUAUCAAGAAUAAGGUACUCGUACUCAGCCAUCUCACAUUCCACAGUGACUUUAAGUAACACAGGGUUUUUAAAUAAUUUUUAAUAAUUGCAAGUUUUCAGGAAAUAUCACAGAGUGAGAUCGAUCAUGAUUAGAAAUAUUUUAAUCUUGUUAAUUUGUCACGUCGGAGACAAUAUUCUGCACGAACCAAGAUAUAUGCGUAUGUGUAAAGUGUGCAGAGUAUGUACCUGAAUCAUGGAGUGGUGCGGUCGAAGUGCGUUUGGCAUGUCGGGGGAUCUCCCCCAUAGUUGUUUUCUGCUUACUUGCAUAAAAUAAAGUAGAGACACACAUGACAUAAUAAUAAUCUUUAUUAAUCUUGAGGCAUUUAUUACAACCGACUAAUAAUAAACUAAAGCUAAUAAUAGAUCUAAGCCGAAUCUAAAGAUGAAUAACUAAGAUACACUGCCUCAAGAUCUAAUUUAGAUAACUUAGCGGCGCUCUAACUCCCUAAACUUCUUAUUAGCACUAGCAAGAUCACGCUUAAGACCUAGUAUAACGGUGUUCUGGUUAGAGAGCUUCCUAUUGAUGGAGUUAACCGAGGACUGGAGCUCUAUGAUGACCUUGUCUAGCCUACGAACGUCCUCAUCUACAUCUACUAUAGUCUUGCGGCGCUUAGGAGGUGUCUCGAGAGUAUUGAGAGCGUGCUUCGGGGCUUCCUUUGGAGGGAUAAAACGGACUUUGGCUGCUUUAACCCCCUCGAAGUAAGGCCUCUCCUCCUCCGUGGUGUAGCGGACGCUGCUGAUCUCGCCGCUCCGGUUGGUCUUGACUCCGACGACCCGCUCAUUGGGCCUGGGUGGUAGGAUCCUCGUGUCGGCUGGUACCUUGACGGUGGCCUCCUUCUUGGCUGAUGACCCCUUGAGAAGUAGGGGCUGCAGCGGCACGGUGAGAACUGGUUGGGCAUAGUAAGAUUGGAUGGAGCUGCGCUGACGUGAUGGCAAGGCUGCUAGCUGUCGCUCUGUGUUGGCCGGGACGAGAGCGUAGUCGUCGGGGUCUUCCUUGGGCUUCUUGUUGAGGUCGCAGGGGACGACCUCCCAAUCAUUGUGGAACUCGUCGGCCAUUGGAGCAGUGAGGGACUAAGCAAGCUCUAAUUGACGUCAGGGGUCUGUUUAUAUAGGGGUCAAAAAGUGCCUCUAGGGUUUGCUCGGGUUACUCCCGCCGCCAUGCGUGCGUAACAAACCAUGCCCGUGAUUAUUGGGAUUACCAUAGAUGAGUUUAUCAUGACGGAGGAGACCGGGGCCGAGGGGAGACAAGGGCUGGGCGCCCGCCCUCAUCAUCAGGGCACCCGCCCUGUGCCUGGCUCCUUUGUGGGCCCGCCUCCUUGAGCAUGCUUCUAGAUGCAAAAUUUAUUUCGAAAAAUAUAUACGUGGUCCAAAAACGUCAGAUUAAAAAGGUCGGGCUCUAAUUCUUCAUGGGAAGGUAAAAAUGGAUUAUGUCUAUUUCUUUUAAUUCUUUAUUGGGCUCUAAAAAUAAUUUAAGAUGUUGACCAUUUACCUUGAAUAACGUACCUUCAUUAUU
rnacentral:lncRNA from 1 species